AGGUUUGUGAUCUUAGUAAACUAGGGAAGCUCAGUGUCACUAACUGCCAUAAGUUAUCUGCCUUGCCUGAAGGGAUUGGAAAGUUGGAAAAUUUAGAACUGUUGAGGCUAAGAUCGUGCGCUGAACUGUCGAAGCUUCCAACCUCAAUGAAGAACCUUGGAAAGGUAAACUUUCUUGAUAUAUCUGAUUGCUUCAGCAUCAAGGUGUUGCCCGAAGACAUUGGUGAAAUGAGUAGUUUAAGAAGGAUCAACAUGAGGCAAUGCUUACGGUUGCAGGAGCUGCCUCCAUCAGUCGUGGAUCUUGAGCAGUUAGAGGAAGUGGUCUGUGAUGAGGAGACAAAAUAUUUAUGGGAAUCUUUCUUGUCGUGUCUCAACAACGUAAGGAUAAUUGUGGCCAAAGAGAAUAUCAACCUAAAUUGGCUCCACAAGACUCAGUUCUGAUAUAUGUGUAUCCUCAGUGAAGGUUGUUCUUUAAACUCUUUGGUUUGUGUUUUUAGUGGGGCUUAUGGAAACUCGACUGUAACAUAGUUUCAAAUUCAAUCGCUGUACAUUUGCUUGACUUUCUUGUUUGAAAAUCUGUAUGUGUAAUCCAACGCCACAAUCUGAUUCAUGUUCUCCCAAAAUAAAUUCAACGCCACAAGGUUGAAGAGUCCCAUAAAAUAAAGAACUUUCAUGUCACGGGAUCAGGUGUUAAUCUUGUUGUGGAUAAGUUUCUUUGGUAUUUAUAUUAAGGUCAAGUGGUCAAGUUUCCAGAACUGUUCAUAUAAUCGAGAUGUUGUUGAACCAUAUAUUUACCCAAAGAAAAUAUAUUAAUAAGAAAAAAGAGAAUCUCUACAACUCAUACACGCACGUGGACCUCGAUGUGUGACAAGUUUGAGUUCGUGUAUGUAUGGAACUCUCCCAAAACUCUCACGUUCUCCACUAGGUGAUGGCCUUCUCUCAACCUCUCUACAUCCUCGGAAAGUGGCACACGUAACAGAGUGGAUAAGGAUCUCUGAACUGCUCCUUGCGUCUAUAAAAUGACGAAGGCUAGAUUCAAAUAAAAGGAGGAGACUGACGACCAAGAGCUGAGAGAGGGUCAAGAGGGCAGCGGAGGAGAGAAGAACGAAAACUGCAAAAAUAGAAAGAGGCUUAACAGAAAGAGAAGAAAUGAGCAAAGGGCUGUAAUUACGCAGAACUUUCACGAGGAAGAAGAAUCAAAGGUAAAAGUUUUAUUCUUCUUUAUUAUUUAUUUCCUUACACUAAUCUCCACUUCAUGGCACGGGACCUUCGAAGCAAAGUUAGUUUCCUAGAUGCUCCUACAAGGAGAUGCUCCAGUGAAGGACCUCUCUCUAUAACAAAUCAAAAUGGUUCCAAUCCCUCUUUGCCCUAGAAGCAAUCUUCCGGAUCAAAGCCGCUGGGCAAGAAGAAAAACCAGAAGCAAUAACCCUUCUCCGCUAUCAAAGUGCUCUUCGAAAUUAGACUGACAAGGUUAGCUUUCCUGUGAUUGUAGCAGUUUGGCAUGCAAGAACAAAAAUGGUUCCUGCCACAAGAAAAGCACAGCAAUUCUUGCCUUUUUUUCGAAAGAACGUAUCCAAUUGGCAUAGAAGGAUGGUCGAAGUCUUCUCGUCAAGACUUUCUCGGCACAGCAUAUCUGCACGCAGACACAAAGGUGCCGGAAAGUAAACUCCUUCAAGGUGUUCAUCUUUAGCGGCUCAGAUCUACUCAUCAAUCAUUUUUUCGGCACAGCAUGUCUUCAUGUAGACACAAAGGUGCCGGAAAUUGAUCUUUACAGGGAAUGUCGAAACCUACUCGUCAAUAAUUUAUUCGGCAUAGCCUGUCUCUAUGUAGACACGGAGGUGCCGGAAAGUGAUCUUUAAGGGAAAAGUCUAAAUCUACUUGUCAAGAAUUUUCUCGGCACAACAUGUCUCCUAGUACACACGGAGGUGCUGGAAGGUGAUCUUUACAGGGAAUCAUGGACGAAGCCAAUGAAGGCUCACUGAGGGCAGAUGCUCCCACUCAAGUAAUUCAUUUGUUUAGUUGCAAACUACAAUUAUAUAAUAUACACAGGUUAUUUUUCAAGAAAAUAUAUGUAUCUAAUAUCUAACAUACAUUCAUUCUACUUAUACUCCAUAUCAAAUAUUAUAUGAGCAAUAGUGCUCUUGUUCUAUCAUUCAAACCGAAAAAAUCAUCUCCCGCCUAUCAUGUACUUAUAUUUUUCUCAUCACUUAGCCACUUUCCACUACUAUAUUGAAAUUUUUGUAACAUUGGAAUUGUGAUACAUCAUCAUUUGAAACCAUCCUUAAUAUCAUACUGUGUACAACCAUACUAUAAUAAAAUUUUCUUAGUUAUUUUUUGUUGCCCCCACUAGAAGAAAUUUUUGGCUUCAUCUCUACAGGGAAUGUCGAAAUCUACUUGUCAAAAAAAAAAAUUUCACCACAACAUGUCUCUAUGUAGAUACGGAGGUGCCAGAAAGUGAUCUUUACAAGAAAAGUCGAAAUCUACUCGUCAAAAAUGUUCUUGGCACAACUUGUCUCCACGUAGACACAGAAGUGCCGAAAAGUGAUCUUUACAGGAAAGGUCGAAAUCUGCUAAUCAAAGAAUUUCCAGCACAACAUGUCUAUAGGUGGAUGUGGAGGUGCUAGGAAAUUGACAUCUCUACACUAUGACAUUUGUACACUAACACCAGGGCCUGCCCAGGCCCAGUGCAGGUAGGGCUAGCAUUCGGGGUCCAAACAAAUUGGGGGCACCAAAAUGAUUAGGGUGAUAUAUUGAUAUAUGUUUUCAUAAGAGUAUAAAUUUAUAAAAUUUGGCUCAAUGAUAAAAAAAAUUAAUUAGAAGUGGUGGUAUUGUCAUUUGAAAUUAAUGAGGAGGUCACGGGUUCAAAACAUCAUAUGUGCUUAUUUACUUUUCAAUUUUUACAAAUUUCUUUUCAUAUAAGUAUAAAUUUAUAAAAUUUGGUUAAAUGAUCAAUAAGUUUAAUUAGAAGUUGUUGAUGCACAAAAUCUGGUGGAUCUUGGACCAACGUAAAUCCGGCCGUGAAUCACAUAAACGCACAAGAACACAAAGAUGUAUCGUGGUUCACCUCAAUGUUUGGGCUACGUCCACACUGAUGUUGAUUCCAUUUUACUGUAUGAAUGUAUAGAUUACAAUAGAUCGGCAAAUGAGCUCUCUGUGGAUGCAGCCCUUGCUAUUUUGCUCUCUAUGGAUGCAACCCUUGCCAUUUUGCUCUCUGUGGAUGCAGCCCUUGCCAUUUUGCUCUCUGCAAGGGAGCUCUAUUGUUGUGAGGGAUGUGAGACUCUCUUCUUUCUUCGCUCUUUGUGAAGGUGAGGACGAUCCCUUUUAUAGAGUAAGGGUGUCCUCCUCUUACAUAAAUCAUGGGCUCAAUAUCGAGGCCCAAUAUAUGGUACAACAGGAGUCCCCCAAGUCUUUAGUCAAGAGAGUCUUUUGGCUGGAGACUUUAAAUCCAAUCCAAGUACGAGCCGAAGUGGCUAGAUGUCGUCCAGAACUGGUACUUUACAUGAGACGAUACUUAACGUCAAGCAAGACUCAACUAGAGGUAGCACACGUUGCGAGGCUACUCGGCUAGAGGCGAUGCUUUCAGCGAGACGGUUACUCGGCUGGAGGCGGUGCUCGUUGCGAGGCGGCUCGGCUUGUGGCAUUCCUCGUUGUGAGUAUGCACUCAACGUCAGCGUGUGCUCAUUAUGAGUUGAUUCUUGAUAUGACUUUGGUCCACUUGUCGAGUUCGCAUAUUGGGUCUAUGUGCCAGAUCCUCGAAUCGGGUCCAUAAAUCGGGUCUUUGAGUCGGGGCCAUACGUAGGGUCAUCGAGUCGGGGCCAUCUAUAGGGUUUUUGAGUUGGGUCCGUGAGUCGAGGUUCGAGCUCAAGGGUGUCCAGGCACAUAAGUGUCCAAACAUGUGAGUGUUCGAGCAAGUGGGUGUCCGAUCAGACAAGAGAUCACCGUUCAAACUAAAUCUUUGUCACCAUAAGCAUGUGGCUUAUCAGUCUAUAAGUUGGUAAGCUUCUUUAAUCAUUGGCAAUGUUGAUCAACAGAGCUAGUUGCUCAAUAAUUCCUGACAAUAAAUGACAGUAUAAGUACAAACGUAUAAUGAAUAAAUCAAAUUAACAUAGUUUGGUAAUGCAAAAUAUUGUACCAUGUGCCUACUACAAAUAAAUAAUUUAUUAAGUUGUGUAGUAAAUCACAUGUUGCAUAAGUGACAUAGUUAAUGAGCAGUCAUUGAAUCACUCGGCAAUGAAUAAAUAUUUACACAAGUAAGUGAAAUAUGAGCCAGUACAUGUGAUAAUUAUGAGGUGAAUACCACAAAAUGAAAGGAUGUGAUGUCUGAUUAUGUCACAUGGCAUAGGAAUAGUGAUGUGCCGAAAGACUAUCAGCAUUAUAAUAAAAUAUUUAAACACACAUAUUUGUAUUGUGUAGUGUGCAUAAGCCUGUGAUACAUCACCACAACUUUAAAUAAUAAAACUUUGUGUGAUGUGCUUUGCCACGUUAUUGAUAGUGAUCAUGUGAUAAAUAUCACAAAAUAAUAAAAUAAUAAAUAAAUAAUUUGAGAAAACAUGAUGUAAAAAGUAAAGCUUUUUUUUUUUUUUUUCUUUUGGCAGAUGGCAGACAAAGGAAAAGUAAAGCUUUUUUCUUUUCGCAGAUGGCAGACAAUACCAAAAGGGAAUAAUAAUAGAAUUAUUAUGAGAAAGCUUAUUUUCUUCCUCUCUACUGUCGGUCUGGUUGAAGGUUAUGGCUUCCUUUGAUUACUUUUGGGUUGACAUUUCUGACGGAUUAAAAAAUCAAAAUCAAAUAAUAAAAAUCUAACUUGUUUUGGAAGAUGGAAAUAUGUCAGUGGUGUUGAACUUUCGGUCGCCGCCGUCUUCGGUGGUGGCUAAUAGGAGGAGUUUACCACCGAGCUUGGGCGAGGGCGAGGGCCUGGACUUGGGCGAGAGUGCUGACUCUAGAGAUGCAGAAGCGGAGGUCGAAGGUGAUGACGGCCUCCAAGAUCUCACUGUACUUGUCGAAGUGCUCUCUCAAGGCCUCUUUGGGAAUCUCCCACGCCAACCCUCCGACAAAGACUUUGGUUAGUGUGGUGUCACCAAAUACUAGGAGUAGUUUGGCUCUGAGAAGCAGCACCAUAAGGGAUGCAGCAAGACAUGCAUACUGAGGUCGUGCCUGUAUUGGAUCGGAUGGUGGAGAUGAGCUGCAACGGCUGCCGAGUGCUCCGGAAGGGAUGCAGCGACACAUGCAUACUGAGGUCGUGUCUGUACUGGAUCGACUCUCCCGAAGCCCAAGGCAACGCCACCUUGUUCCUCGCCAAGUUCUUUAGCCACAAUGAUCUCCUCUCAUUCGUCUUCGUCGUACCGGAAAACCAACGCCCCGGUAAACAACCAAUUAAUUAAUUAAACAAUAUUGCAAUAAUUUUACACGAUUAAUAUUUGCCAUUAAUUAAUCCAUAUUUUCCUUUUUCUCGAUCAGCUAUGUUUCAGUCUCUGCUGUUCGAAGCGUGCGGCCGCAUGGUGAACCCGGUGAACGGAGCGGUGGGGCUUCUGUCGAGUGGGAACUAGCACGUGUGCCAGUUGGCGGUCGAUACGGUGCUGUCCAGCGACGCUUUGAGGCCAUUACCGGCUUUUACUAUGCCUGCCUUCGACGAGUCUUCGAACGCGUUUAGCAGAGAAGCAUGCACGCCGAAAAAUCGCUACUGUCCGUCGGCGUCGGCAUACUACGACGUGGAGCGAAUUUAGCCGUUCGAGGAGGCGGGGCUCUCUCUGAGGCCGAAUCUCGUGGCGGCGGAGAGAGGAAGAGGGAGGGGAAUGUGGAUCUGCGUAAGUGCCUCGAUGGAUCAGCGACGGAGGGAUACAAUGUCGUUUGAUUCGGAGGAGUCGAUGAUGACUACGACAACGACGAAGACCUUUGAAAGCAGUGGCGGUAAUCUGAAGGAUCGCAAGCUUCUGAACCUUUUUGUCUAAGUACUAUUAACCUAUGAGAGAGAAAUUUAUGAGAGAGAGAGAGGUGGUUGGAAGUAUGUGAAGGUUUUCUGGAAAAGCCCAAAAAGUGAGGUUUUUGGGUUCUUGGGUUGUGCAGAUUCACGGUGGAUAGAUGAAAAAAAUGAAAGAGAACCGACAUGGUUUUUCGUGUCGUUUCCCACAGACGGCGCCAAAUGUUGAUGCACAAAAUCUAGUAGAUCUUGGACCAACGUAAAUCCAGUCGUGAAUCACACAAACGCAGAAGAACACAAAGAUGUAUCUUGGUUCACCCCAAUGUUUGGGCUACAUCCACACUGAUGUUGAUUCCAUUUCACUAUAUGAAUGUAUGAAUUACAAUAAAUCGACAAGGGAGCUCUCUGUGGAUGCAACCCUUGCCAUUUUGCUCUAUGUUUGGCUGAAAGGGUAUUGCCCUCUAUUGUUGUGAGGGAUGUGAGACUUUCUUCUUUCUUCGCUCUUUGUGAAGGUGAGGAUGAUCCCUUUUAUAGAGUAAGGGUUUCCUCCUCUUACAUAAAUCAUGAGCUCAAUAUCGAGGCCUAAUAUAUGGUACAACAAAAGCAAUGGUUUUUAUUGUUUAAAAUUAAGGAGAGGUCCUAAGUAGGGGUGGUUCGGUAUGGGAUCCCAUACCGAAACCCUUGUCUCGAUUCCCAUACCGAAAUUUUCGGGAAUCCCAAUUUCAAUACCGAUCCCAAACCAAAUUUUCGGGAAUCCCAAUUUUCGGGAAUCCCGAAAUAGUUUCGGGAUUUCGGGACAAAUCGGGAAUCCCGAAAUAAUUUUGGGCUUUUGGGCUUUUGGGCUUUUGGACAAAAAAAAGCUAAUAUUGGUCCAAUUGGACAAAAACCUAAUAUUGGGCCAUGCCCAUUGAAUGUAAUAGCCCCAUAUGGGCUUAACUUGAUUCAAUCAAAUAAAAAAAUUAUUGGGAUAAUUGAUGUUGGCCCGGGUCUGCCAAUUUGUGUUGUUAUGAAAAUGUAGGGUUCACAAAGUUUUGGGUAACAUCAAUAUGUGUUGUUAGGACAAAAGCCUAUGAAAAUGUAAUUUACCCUAUUCAAAAGCAAUCUGCCAAUUGCCAAUCUGUGCACAAUUGCAUAUGCCUAUUCAAGUUCUACUACACAUGCAUGCAAUAAAAAUAAAUUAAGUACCAAAUCCAAAAGCAAAAAUAUUAGUUACAAGCCAAGGUUUUAAAAUAAAUAAAGUAACAAACCCAAAAGCAAAAAAAUUAGUUACAAUCCAAAGUUUUAAUAAUUAAGUUACAAACCAAAAGCAAAAAAACAAAGUUUCAAGUUUAUGAAGAUUGUUGACUUCUUCGGCCCCUUCGGCCCUUCUUGUUGGCACUUGUAAUUUUCCCCUUGAUAUUGAUGGUUGAGCCCUUCCCCUUACAAUGGGUGGUCGUGGUCAUGGAGGUAGUGAUUGAUUUUGACGUUGUUGAACUUGUACUUGAGGUGGUCGAGGAGAUGGAGGUGGCAUUUCAUUUUCUUGUGUUGUAUUCUCCUCACCUCCCAAAUUAGCCAUGUCUAAAACAAUAAACCACAAAUCAUUUACAUUAAAUUAUAGUCUAAUAGAUAAUAAAUACUAAAAAAAUAAAAGAUGAAAUUAAAUUGUUUACUUACUUCUUUCUAAGCGUUCAAGCUCCUCGUAGAAACAUAAUUCGUCAAGGGUAGGCUCCUUGUAGAAACAAAAUUCUUUUCCUCUAAGCCAAUCACUAGUACACACUAAAGCCUCAACCGUUUUAGGUGUUAAGGAAGCUCUAAAAGGAUCAACAACUUUCCCACCAAGACUAAAGGCAUUCUCACUAGCAACGGUGCUACUAGGAAGGGCCAAUACAUCCUUAGCAACUUUACUAAGAAUUGGAUAUUGACCACAAUUUCCUUUCCACCAAUCCAAAAGAUUGAAACCCUUAUAUGUUAGGCUUUGAUGUGGAUCAUUGAAGUACAUAUCCACUUCAUUGGCUAUCUCAUUUUGUUGUGCCUCCGCUCUCUUUCUUUGGAUCUUCUUUGCCAUCCUUGAAGCAACAUCAAUAUCUACCAUCACACCCCCCCGCCCCAUCAUCUAGUACAACACUUGAUCUUUGCUCCACAUUUGAGGUAGCACUACUACUAGUACUACUACCACUACUACUACUAAGGACCACUCCCUCCUUAUAUGCAUUAUACAACUCGGUUACAUAACCUUUAACCCUUACUUUCUCCUCCCUUAUUUUGUCACAUCCAUAGCCGAGCUCUUCUAGAUUUGUCUCUAACAUAUCAAAUUUGUACCUCGGGUCGAGUGAUUGGGCCACAAAGAGAAUAUGAUUCACCUUUUCAAUGUCACCCCAAUAUUUGUCAAACUUGAGCUUCAUUGAGGUAGCCACACUUUGCAAAGUGGAAUUAGAGGCAUUUGAAAUUUGUUCUUCUAUCUCCACUUGCAAGGCAAUCACCGUGCUAAGUAUUAAGUGUGACGUUGGAGUAAGGGUUGUACUCAAUGUCAAGGUGGCAUCAUAAAUUUUUUUGAGAAAGUGAGCAAAACUCACCGACCUUUCCCAAUCAUCCACCUCCGGAUGACCCACCCGCUUAGCCUUUCUUGUCACCCCAUCAACCUCUUUUGAGACCUCCUCUUUAAAGUAAGCAAUAAAAGAGUCACACUCAAAGGCCAUCUUAGAGAACACUUCUUUAAACUUGAAAGCACUAUUAAGCAUUUGAUAUGUGGCAUUCCACCUUGUGACAACAUCAAAAGGGAUACUUGACAUCCUAUCAAAUCUCAACAAGACACAAUAUUCCCUAAAAGACUCCAACCUUGCCGGGGAUGAGUGUAUAAACUUCACACAAUUUCUUAUGGCAUCAAUCUCCCUACUAAGCUCCGUCAUUCCAUCCUUAACUAUCAAAUUAAGGAUGUGACAAGCGCACCUCAUGUGCAAGUGAGCCCCAUCAAGUAAAAGAGUACCAUUUGACUUGAGUCUUCUUUUCAUGUAUGCAAUAGCGGUGUCAUUUGCACUAGCAUUGUCAACGGUAAUGCUAAACACCUUGUCUAUGCCCCAAUCAUUCAAGCAAACCUCUAGACAUCUUCCAAUAUCAUCACCCUUAUGAGAAGUAACUUGGACAAAGUUUAGGAUCCUCUUAUGUAACCCCCAAUUAGUGUCCAAAAAAUGAGUCGUGAUGACCAUGUAGUUUAUCAUUUGAAUUGAGGUCCAAGUGUCGGUUGUAAUACUCACUCUCAACCCCUCAAUCACACUUUUUAUUUUUGCCUUCUCUUCAUCAUACAACUCCAAAACCGCCGCCGCCACCUUAUGCCUAUUAGGAAGUUUGUACUUUGGAUUCAAGUCACGAAUAAAAUCUCGAAAGUCCUCUUGAUUAACCACCCUAAAAGGCAUCUCUGCUAUUAUAAUCCACCUCACACAUCUCCUAUCAAGUCUUUUUUUAUUGAAAGUGUGAGUGACAACCGGACCUCCCAUCCUCGCUUGUGUCAAUGUAGGUUGGUUCGGAUCUACAUUCUCAAAGAGACUAGAACCCGGACAUUUCCUCAAAUGCUUAAGAAUUCCCGUUGUCCCAUGAGUUAUAGGGUGUGCCGGUACUAAGAGUUUGCAAUGUUUGCAUUCGGCCAUGUAAGAUUUCUCCCCAUUAUUAUCGGUGAUCGUUACCCUCUUAGCAUCAUUCCACACCGGACUUUGACCCUUUCUCCUAUUGCCCUUUUUCCGAGGAGGACCAUCCCAUUGUCUCACUACUUCUACUUCUUCUACUUCUUCUUCCCCAUCUUCUUCUAUCUGUUCUAAUGCAAUAUCCUCCUCCACAUCCGGAUCAUCAUCCCAACAAUCUUCAUAAUAAUCAUUAUGCAAAUAAUCUUGAGGUGAGGGAGUGCCUAGUUGAAGGGUACCACUAGGUUGGGUUUGUUUUCGCUUUCCUAAUACCGAGACCAUAUGUGUACUGGCUACUAGAUCCGUCCAUCCUACAAAUAAAAUAACAAUGCACAUUAAUAUAUCACAACCACAGUUCAGCAUAUAUCCAAAUUCCAAACAAUAAAUAAAAUCAAUGGUUCAAAAAUCUGAGCAUUCAACAUAGAAGUAUCGUGUAUUUGAAUUUAAACUAGGAAGCAAAUAAAAACCAGCUCGUUUCUAAACUAGGAGAAUAUAAGUAGCCCCACCCCCACAAAGAUAAUACAAACAUGAAAGUUGGAACCUACAAACAAGAGUUUUCAACACUUGUAGCGCUUGUAUGCUAAACCUUUAAAAGUUGCUCGAGAAUAAAUGAUUCAAGAAAAACAACCUGAAGAAUAAUAAUUCAAGAAAAUAAUUAGUAGAGAAUCAUAGUAGACUAACAUGCUUAACAUAUAUUGUGUUUUCAAACCAAUAUGGACAAUGCUUAACAUGCUUCAUGGAAUACUCAUCAUGCAAGUCUGUUGUGGUCUGUUGUGGUCUUACAGACAGUUUUCUAGGACUCGGACAAUUGAUGAACUGCAUAUGCUUAAAGGUUUCAUGGACUCGGACAAUUGAUGCAAUAUCACAGUAGUCGGCAAGGCCAAAGAGGCCAUUACGACGAGAGACCAAAACACAAAACAUCACCGUCCACUCAAAUUGGAAUAACGAUUGAUGCUGGCAUAGGUAGUGUGAGAUACUCGAGAGAACAAAUUCCAAACAAUUAAGCAAUGUUGAUGUUGCAAAAAUAGUAUCAAUCUUACUGCCAUAGUUCAAAACCCGGUUCGGCCUUGGGAGGGAUCAGAUAAGCAUUCCACGCAGAAGAAAUGGAUUGACAUUUAGUAGUAAACAAUACCGGCACCAACAAUCUCAGACAUGCUUGCAUUUACAAAUACAAUUAAAAUAUCACAACAAACAAAUGAGAGCACAAUGAUGAAGGACAAUGCACAACAAUGGCACUUGGUACCAUGAUAAUCUCAGGGGUUUAACAAAAUGUGGGAUAGUUCCAGGAGAAAAUUUGCAUAAUCCGUAUCCAUACUCGGCAAACAGGCAAAAACAAAAAGGAGAAAUUGAUUGGAUGAAAAACUAAGCGCAAUUUUGACACAAACAUCAAGUUUAAAUUCAAAACUAGAGAAACAAUCACAGGGGUCAUCAGAUAGGAGUGAAAGACAUGAAAUUUGCUUAAUCACAAAGAUUCAGUUGAACUAUUGCCUCAUGUCGCAAGAUAUUGAAUAACAAGUGCUAUAAGCCUAUAAAGGUCAGGGCCGUAACCCUCGAAUCAAUGCUCACUAGAAAACGACAACAGACUUGCCUAAAUUCUGUGAAGAGACAAAAUCGCAAAAGAAAAGAGAAAGAGCGAGAGGUGUGUGUGUGACAGUGAGAUAGAGAGAUUUCAGAAAACUAAAUUAAUUACCUAAUUUCAGAAAACCAAGUGAGACCGUGAGAGAGAUCCCCAGUUCUGUCCGUGAAAGAGAACCCUCGAAUCAAUGCAGUUCUGUGACCGUGUGAGAGAGAGAGAUCGCGAGAGAGAGUGGUGGUUGUGUGGUGAAGGAAGGUUGGAGAGUCAGAGACGAGAGUAUGGUGUGGUGGUGGGCCGGUGGCUGGUCGGAAUUCGACAGUCUGGUGAGGGACGACGUUGGUGAGGGCCGGAGGCUAAGGGUCAGGGCUGCAAUUCGAAACAAAUGAACGGAGGAACUGAAAUGUGAUCUGACCUAAAAACAAAUCAACGGCACAGAUUAAAUCUAAAACAAUCAACGGUUGAAAUAAUUCUCUUAUAAUUAAAAAAUUAUAUAUAUAUAUAUAUUUUUUCUUUUUCGGUUCGGUAUGGGAAUACCGAAAAAAUGAAAUGCAAUACCGAAUCCCAUACCGAAACUUUCGGUUUGGUUUGGGAUUACAUCCCGAAAAUUUCGGGAAUUUUGGUUUGGGAUCGGGAUUUUUGGUUUGGUUUGGGAUUUUUGGGAUUUUUUUCCAGCCCUAGUCCUAAGUUCAAAAUGCUAUGUGCGUGUUUAUUCUUUUCAAUUUUUAUUUGGUUGUAACAAAUUAGUCUUUCUGUGUUUUUAAAUUAUUGAUUUUGAAGUGAUUUUCUAAGUACAAUUUUAUCGAUGUCUUACGUGUGAAAAUAAAUAAUUUUCUUAUUUAUGGCACAUUUUUUAGCGUCGUCCCCAGUCUCAAAAAUCUCUGCAUCUCGUGAAAAUAAAUAAUGUCUUACGUGAAGAAAGUAUGAAGACCACAAAUGUUUUGAAUACUGCAUCUCGUAUAAAACAAGGAAGCAGUAGCCAAAUGACGAUGUCAUCGCCAAUCCCCACUAUAGCAACAGGGAGCAUCAGUCCCCACUGCAUCACGUUCGAUUCCAAACGUCAACGGCGGAAUGUUCUUCUCUAAAUCACCAAUUGUGCAGAAGAAAUGACGUCUAGAUCCUUCCCACCAAAUACCAAGAUGAGCCGAAGUGGGCUCUCACUGGAACAGAUGAAGAAAAGACAAUGAAAUUGUUUGCUGUAGGUUGCUACCUUCAAAGCUAUCUAAUUCAGGGAUUAAAAAUGCUAAGAGGCGAUCUGUAACAAAGAAUAGGGAUGGAGGUCCUCAUGUUCACAUGGUCCUAGCUCUGGCAAACGGGUCAUGUUUGUCAUGUUCGUGUUGUUUUCGUGUAACACUUGUUAUCUUAAAGGAUCGUGUUGUGUCACACCCGUUAUCUUAACGGGUCCUUAAUAGGUUGGGUCACCAUUAUGACCAGUUAAGAAAAAUAUAUUUUUUUUUCUUAAAUUUACACAUACCACACAUUGCCACAUAAAAUAUUACUUCAAAACAUUAAAACACAUUUGUCGUUUAAGUGCUACAUCUACACUCGAAAAUAAGAGCCUAAUAAAAAAACAUUCAUACACUAGUCUAUUACAAAAUAUUAAAUGUGCAAGGAUAUGCAAAAUGAAAGAAUUUUUGUUUUCGAGGUUGUGAAGCCUUUCUCAAAAGUUUAAACCUUGCCAAUGGAACUCAAAGCUUACAUGUUAUUCCUUUUACAAAAUCCUUAAUUUUCAUCAAUCAUCAUGAGGAAAUUGUAUUGGAACUUUGGGUUGAUCUAUUGCUUUCAAGAGUUAUGUUGAUGAUGUUUUCAGUAAGGUUUUCUACGUCAAAAUUCUUUUUCGCAUAAACUAAGUAUAGAAAAACCGAACAUUAAAAACCAUUCAAAUUAUGAAAAGUUUACUAAAAUAAUUAUGAAAAGAAAUAAAAAAUAGUACUAUACCAUAUAAAAAUAUAUUAGCCUCCAACCUAAUGAACAAUGGAUGGCUGAGAUUAAAUCUCAGCCGAUCCAAUGGUCACCAAUUUUAUAAAAUUUAAAUUAAUAUAUAUAACUAUUAGAGUUUGUAAGGGUAUAAAAUUGUUAAAUUAAUAUAUAUAAUUAUUAUAUUAUUUUUUUAGGGUUAUAAAAUUAUAAAAUUAAUAUUUUGCUUAUCGUGUAUCGUGUUACCCACGUGUAUACUCGAACCAACCCGUUAUUUUAACAGGUGCUUAUCGGGUUACCUAAUAAUGACCCAAUUCGUUAUCGUAUUGACCCGAACACCUGUUAAUUUCGUGUUGGGUUAUCUGGUCGUGUCAGGAAUUGUCAGGCCGUGGUCCCCAACAACCCAGGUCCUAUCUGCAGAGUGCUUAGGUCAUCUCAAAUGAAGAGGGCUAAAUGUUCAAAAGGUAAAAAAUGUCUUGAUUUAUUCAAAAUAUCAUCUUCAACCGAUGACUGGACUAAACUCUAUGAAGUCCACCAUACCAUUAUUUGGUCAAAGGAGCAUCAGGCUGGCCAAACGUAGCCCCCUUUUAGCCCUUUUUUUGGAGCCUAGCUUCUCAGUUACAAUAAUUGAUUCAAAUUCAACGACUAUAUCUGAAAACAUCUAACAUUAGUUUAAUUAAAUUAACUAAUAAAGCUAAAGUAUAAACUUAAAACUAAUAAAUAAUUGAGAAGCUAUGUUUAGUGUCUUGAGUUUGAGAUGAUAUAUGAAUAUGACCUGACAUUAUUUAUUUAAAUUUUUUUUUUACAGACUACAAUUUUGGACAAAAUUAGGUUUGAUUUUUUCGGUUAGAAAUGACCUUAGGCACUCAAAAGUCUAAUGUAUACCGCAAGCGUGAUCUCUCAAAAAGAAAAAGGGAGAAUCCAAAUAGCCUUAGAGCUUAAGGAGGGGUUUAUUUGAAAUCAAAAUUUUUUAUCCCUCUUUGAUGCCGUGGCAAGUAUGCAAGGAAACAAAAUUCCUUGCGGCAAAAUAAAAGCAUACCAAUUAGGAUUCAAUAUGAUCAAAGAAUGCCUUUGCCGCAUCUCCAAAUAAAUAGCUAAAAGAUGUUUAUUUUGUCUGCCAUGUGAAGUCAAAGUCCAAGUUCACAGAGAAGAGAAAAAAAAAAAAACUAAAGAAAAAUGUUUGAAAACUUUGAGUUUUAACAAUAAAAAUAAAAUAAAGAGUAAAUUGACCAGUACCAAGAUUAACUUUUUAGUGUCAAAAUAUGAGUUUUCAUUAAAGUAAACAAUACCAGAAGUUUUUCAUUAAAAUUCUCAAAAAAAAAAGGGUGUGAUUUCCAUACACUCCAUUUUACUUCUCACACACAUUUUGAAUUUUCGGUUGUUGGAUUUGAAGAAUAAAAAAUGAUUAACUAAAAAAAUUAUUAAGAAAUGUGUGAGAAGUAUAAUAAAAUGUGUGUAUAGCAUAGUAAAAAAAAAACUUGCCGACAACCUCCCAAAUUAAUUGGGAAAGAUACUCACGUGGCAACCUUUAAUAAAAAAAGGGCCACAGCUCUCAAAUUUGAAUUCAUGUGGUUUCUUUUAUAACUUUGGGCCUACCCUUUCCUAGAGGCUGUAAAUUUUGCAAGAAGAAGAAAGAAGUCUGCAAUAAAGUUCCCAAUUUUAUGGGGAAUGCUGCUCCCAUGGGAUAUUGCCCCACUCUAUGACACAAAGAUGCAUCAAAUUUCAAACGGCACAAAGCCUUUUCAAAUUUUAAAUGGGACAAAACGGAUUUAAAUUUCAAAUGGCACAAAAGCCGUAUCAAAUCUUAAAUAGAACAAAGUUGUUCCAAAUGACACAAAGUUCUUUACCUACACGAUUUAAAACUGCAAGGCACCAAAUCCAAACCAAAAUACUUUUUUUUUUAGUGGGUCAUUUACUCAUUAGAAAUAAUGAACUACGUUGGUUUGAUUCUACCAAGGAUACAUAGGCAAUCUAGAUAUUCAAUCCAAAUGCAAUUGUACAAAGACAAAAACUCAAAAUCGAAUCCAUGGUUCAUCUCAACCAAAUUCACCGUAAAAUCCAAAUCGAGUCCCUGGUUCAUCUCAACCAAAUUAACCACAAAGUCCAAAUCGAAUCUCUGGUUUAUUCAACCAAAUUCACUCAAAUAAAUUUUAAGUAUUCAAAUAAACAAACACAAAACCUUUUUUAGUGGGUCAUUCACUCUCUGAAAAUCCCAAACCAAAUCAUCCAAGAACAACGAGUGGCUUGAUCCCUCCAAAAAAUCACGUAGGUAAUCUAGGGCUUGACCUAAGUGCAACCGCAAAACCAAACAAACACCCAAAUCCCAAAGUUACGAUUUAUUCAUAUUGGAAUCAAAGGGUUUUUUUUUUUUUUUUUUUUUGAUGAAGGAUUGUAAUUAAUAGAUGCAUAGUCUAGAAUGGGCUAAAAUUAAUAAAACUCUCUUCGGAAAAAUGAACGAAGGUAAGAUUAUGUUUAGUGAAUUAUUUGUUACAUCUCUUGUCCAAUUUUUCUCAACAGAUGCAUUACCAAAUCUAAAGAAUUGAUUGGUUAUUAUUGACUAGUGCGAUUAAUCGGUCUCAAACUAUGUUUUCCAACAAAUACAGCUUGAUUAAUCUCGUUCAAUGUUAAUGGUUGCAACAAAAAGAAAGGGUCAUAUUUUCUCUUUUGGUUACAAGAACGGGCCAUAUUUUCUUCCUUUUAAAAGUUGUUCUGAUGAUAUAUUUAAGAAAAACAAACAAUAGGCUUUUCACAUAGAAGUCAUUGACAAAGUAGAUAAUAAAUAACAUUAUACAUUUGAAGAAAAUACACAAACUCAAUACUUCAGAAAAUGAACAACAUCUAUUAUACGUUAGAUAAAAAAAUACAAAUUUAAUACUUUGUAAUGGAAGAACGGCACAAUAGAAAUUUCACAACUAAAAAUUAUUAGAGCAUGUCAAUACUUUAAAAAAAAAAAACAGGGACUUGACUUUGUAAUGGGAAGGGCACAAAGAAAUAUCACAGCAAAAAAUCAAUUAAAGCGUGACAAAUAGGGAAAUGAGGGGUUCUUUUCUCUAAUCAAGCUCUUGAAGUAUUUUUGUAUAGAACUUAUAGUUUUGGAACAAAUAAUUGUACAUUAGAAAGGAUAGCUGAUAUUUUCAAUAAAAAUAAAGCUGAUUUUUAUUAAUCAAUGUUGAAGUUUUUGUGUAUAUUCUAUGAAGACAUAAGGGAAUAAUACUACAGUCUCCUCACAUAAAAUUCUCAGCUCUGUCAUUUUUCGUCAAUCUAUGAUUCACGCAAACGAGAAUUUGUCAAUGGAUGUAUGAUACACGUAAAUGAGAUCAAUUCAUAUGUGCAUUAAACAUACAGAGCUCAUGUGAGUAGAAAAGCAUAUAAUUUCCUUGCGUUUCCAUAACAUAUGCACACAAAAUUUCAUAUGUAUAAUUUCUCAUCUUCUAGUAUACCAAAAAGAAAGAGGAAAGUAACAUCUUCACAAUAAAUUUUCUUAACCAACUUACACUAGGCCUAUGAAUUCACUCGUAAUAAAAUUUGCACUAAAGAAAAAAUCAUCAUGCACUGUUCUAUAAUAAAUUAAACAAGGUUAAAAGGAGGACAAACUGGCUUUCUUUUAGAGCUAAUACCACUCUUUAGAAACUAUAUAUUUGAUCGCAUGAACAAUAAAGUCAUUGUACAAUUUAAAUUUAAAACUCAACAUUGAAAUUUUUAUGCAUAUUCUAUGAAAAAAUAAGGAAGUUAUACUAUUGUCUCCUCACAAGAAAAUGUCAACUUUGUCAUAUUUUGUGAGCUUGUAAUACACGCUAAAAUGGGAUGAAUUCGUCAAUGAACUAUUGAUACAUGUAAAUGAGAGAAAUUCGUAAGUCUAUUGAAAAUGAUGAAGCUCAUGUGAAUAGGUCAAACAUAUUUGUAAUCAUAUUAGCUAGAAUACAUAAGUUUCCCCUAACAACCAUUUUUGUGCAUAUUCUACGAAAAUAUAACAAAAUUAUAUGAUAUUUUCCUCACAGGAAAUUCUUAGCUUUGUCAUUUUUCGUUAACCCAUAAUUCAUGCAAACAGGGUCAAUUUAUCAAUGGACGUAUGAUACACAAAAGAGAUCAAUUCAUAAGUGCAUUGAACAUGACAACCCAUGUGAGUGGAGAAGUAUAUAAUUUCCUUAUGUUUUCAUAGCAAGUGCACAAAAAGUAUUAAUGUUGUUAAAUAAAUCUUAUAUGUAUUUAAGUAUAGUUUCUUAUCUUCUAGUAUACCAAAAGGAAACCAUAUAGUAGCAUUUUCACAAUAAAUUCUCUAACUUACACUAGACCUAUGAAUUCACUCGUAACAAAAUUUGAGCUAAAAGAAUCAUCUUGCACUACACACAAAUGAAAUAAAUAAGGUCAAAAGGAGGGCAAAGUGACUUUCUUUUAGCGCUAAUAAUAGUGUGAAUACAAAAUUUUCCUGAAACGAAAGAGACAAGAACAACGUGCACAAACAAAUAUUUGUAUUUGAUGAUUUUAGGGUUACAAUCUCUCUCAAAUUUGAUUUUCUGAUUCGAUCUCCGUAAGGUGUUGAUUUGUGGAUGUUUCGUUGAUCCAAGGGCCGUUGAGGCUUGAUCUUGGAUGAACUGUUGGAAGUUUCUUCAAGGGGCCGUGGGCUUGAUCUUUGAAGGUGGAUUUGAGCGGAUCUUCAAGGAGCCGUUGGGGCUUGAUCUUGAGGAUGAAUGUUUCUUCAAGGGCCGUUAAAGCUUGAUCUUGAAUAACGGUGAUGAACGGAUCUUCAAGGGCUUUUGGGCUUGAUCUUGAAAAACAAUGAUGAACGGAUCUUCAAGGGCUUUUGGGCUUGAUCUUGAAGAACGGUUGGAUGUAUGGAUUUGUCGACGUUUGUUGAUCCAAAGGGCCGUUGGGGCUUGAUCUUAGGAUGAACGGAUGAUGAACGAUGGUGCUUUCUUCAAGGGCAGUCGGGGCUUGAUCUUGAAUUGGUGGAAGUUCUUCAAGGGCUUUUGGGGCUUGAUCUUGAAUUGGUGGAUUGUUGAUCCAAGGGCCGUCGGGGCUUGAUCUUGGAAGAACGAUGAACGAAGAACGAAGAGAGCUUUCUUGAUUCUUCGGGAACCUGGAUGCUUGAGAGCUUCGGAGUUUCAGAGCUUCAGAGCUUCAAGAAUUUUGCCUAAUGAUUUUGGUUCCUCUAAAUGAAUGAAUUAGCCUUCUAUUUAUAGAAAUUUCCAAGGCUUAAUUUUGAAUAUAAUAUUCCAGAUGAAAUAAGUCGUUUCUGCCAAGUGUUGACACGUGUCAUGUUUGAUGACUUUUCCAACUUAUUUUGGUUUUUUGUUUAGACACACGCUACGUGUAAAAUUUAUGUAAUACAUGAGCGUUGAAACUUUGAUUUAUCGGUCAACAUUUAUUUACCGAAAUUUCGAUGUCUACAAAUAGUUCUUCUAAAAAUUAUAUAUUUGAUUGCAUGAACAAUAAAGUCAUUAUACGAUAUAAAUUUAAUAUUGUACAAUUUAAAUUUAAAACUAGUAAGAAAAUUAUACUUACAUGAUCUACAAGAUUUAUUAAUCAAUAUUGAAUAUUAUUGUGCAUAUUCCAUGAAAACAUAAUGAAAUAAAACUAUGGUCUCCUGUAUAAAAUUCUCAACUCUGUCAACUUUUAUGAGCUUGUGAUACACGCUAAAUGGGUGAAUUCUUCAAUAAACUUUUUUUUUGUGGGCAAACUGAACUUUUGAUACACGUAAAUGAGAUGUAUUCUUAAAUUUACUAAAAAUGACGAAGUUCAUGUGAGUACACAUGAGCAUGUUAGAAUACAGUUUCCUUGAUAAAUAAGCUUUUAUAUGUGUACAAGUAUAAUAUUUUCUCCCUUAAACAGAGGGCAAUUUUGUCAUUUUAUGAAAAUUUAAUCAUAAGGGCUUUAUAGAGAGAUUGCCGGCAAUGAGAUUCAAAUUUAAGUCUUAGUCUAGCGAAGAAAACGAUCAUUAUCACUCUCAAAAUUAGAACACCGUGCCAUAAUAAGUAAUUGAAAUUUAUUGAAUUAGCUAAGCUAGUUGCAUGUUAGUUAUCUCUUUACCAUUUCUUCGAAGUCGGGAAACGGAACCAUGAAGGGAAAGAAGGCCAAAUGUCAGUUAACUUUGUUGAGGUCGCCCACUACGCUUUUGUUUACUUGGCUCCGACGCGUGCGGGCUCGGAUUGCAGGACGUUUUCAAGAAACGAUACAGUAGAAUAGCGAUUUCGCAACCAUUUCAUAUACAAUUCACGGUGAGUGCGAUGCAUCAUCAGCUUUGUCAAUGCAUGACUUUUAUGGAUGUUUUUUUGUUCUGAAGUCCUACCAAAUGACAUGAUAACUGACACACUCCGACUGGAAUUAAGGCGUGAUGGCCGUCACGUGAAGGUGACGUAAUCAAAGUGCAAGUGAUGAAAGAAAAUUGUGAAUAAAUUAAAACCAAAACUAGGAAUUAAUUAAGGAAAACUAAUGAAAAUGGCUUGAAAACUUUGAGUGUUAACGAUAAGGACGAAAUAAAUGGUAAACUGAAUAGUACAAUGAUUGACUUUUCAGUGUAAAAAUGUGGUUUUUUUGUUAAAGUGAACAGUAUUGGGAACUUUUCGUUAAAGUUCCCAAUUAAUUAACUAAGAACGUGAGUGCGCAAUAGUGGUUACAACUCAUAACUACAAAUAUUCAGAGCAUAGAUAACAUGAGGGUAAAACAGUAGAACGAGAGAAAUACUUAUUACACAACUAGAGAUAAGUUCCUACGUUAAGAUGGAGAUAUGUCAUAAUCCACCAACUAUUCCUCGUACGCCACAUAGAUUAAUCAACUAACUAGGACAUGGAGGAGCGAAAAACAGAAGGGUGAGUGGGCACAAAAAUAAAGGUUUAUAAAAUCCAUUUACUUUUCAAUCAUACUAACUCCUCACUGUAAAACAAGUAUAAUUUUCAAAAUAUCAUACUAUGUAUAAGUAUGAAAAUCAAAUGCAUGCCAAAUGUAAGUCUAGAAGUAUGCCACAACAUAUGUUCUCAACAACAGUAUAGAUAUGAUUAUGUGCUGUAAAUUGUAAUUUACACUAAUCGGAGUCACCUAAUGUGACAUGUACAACUCCACCUAUCACUCAUCAGUCAUAUGCUAACACAGAAGUCGGAGUCACCUAAUGUGACCUAUACGACAUGACUAGGUGUAAUAAUAAUCGCUCUAGUGCUACGGUCACGUGAAGACUAGCACUAUGCUUGGGUCACCUACGAGUCGGAGUCACCUAAUGUGACUUGUACAACAGGACUAGCACCUACUUAGAUCCAUGGCAAGCGUGCGGUGCAGGAGAUAAACAUACACAUGAAGGACUAGCCCUGUCCUUGGGCUGGAGUACUAACACCGGGGUGUAGCAAUGAUGAGCAGACUAUAUGUAAGCAUGCCAUAAUGAUUCAACCAUUCAAUUCAUCACAUAACCUUACCUGGACUUACUUGCAUGUACCGCAUUCACAUUAGCAUUUCAAACCAUGCACAUCAAUUUCAUGCAGGUAAUAUGCAUAUGGAUAUGCCAUGAUCAUGGAAGAAAAUAUCGAUAAUAUCGGCGAUAUAUCGCCGAUAUUAUCGGUUUUUUCCCGAAUCGAUAUUUUAAAUGGUAUCCAAGGUGUUUUCGUCAUAAUAUCGCGAUAAUAUCGAUAAUAUCGCGAUAUUAUCGAUAUUAUCGCGAAAUUUCGGAACUGUGCACGUCGGAGACGAACGUCGGAGCUUCUACAGCUCCGGCCGACUGUAAAACUGCUCCCUAGCCUCGCCGGAGAUGGGUGUACUUAUUCCCGAGUCGAUUUCAUCCCAAAAACCUUGCAAAAACACGACAUAUAACUUCAAUUUCACAUCUAAGCUUCGAUCUAGAAUAUAAAAAGAAAAACCCGAAGCUUACCUACCUGAGAAAUUGAAGGAACUCGCCGGAGCAGGUGCGAUGGUGUGCGUGUGGGUCUCGGUGCAGAGAAAAGAGAGAUCUCUGUGUGAGUGUGUGUGGUUGGACUGGGAGAAGGGAGAAGAAAGAUCGAGAGAUCUCUGUGUGAGUGUGUGUGUGGUUGGACUGGGAGAAGGGAGAAGAGAGAUCGAGAAGGAUCUCUGUGUGAGUGUGUGUGUGGUUGGACUGGGCGAAGGGAGAAGAGAGAUCGAGAAGGAUCUCUGUGUGUCGUUGAAGAAUCCCCAACCUUUAAGAGACAAACCAGCAAGCACCUCCCUCGACCCACCUCGUUCCUCCGCCGCAAACCUACCACGUGUCCUCAUCCAACUUCUCUCCUCUGUCAACCCACCGCUGUUCCACUGUCAACUUCACCGGUAUUCCUCCGUCGGCCCCGCUUCCGCCUCGUCCUUCAAUCUCUCUCCUCCAUCGAAGUAGGUCCAUAAGAAUUCAUGAAAGGGAGGGGAUCUUUGUUCUUAGUGUAUAGUGUGACGACGCUGCACUGAUACAAAUCUGUGAUGGCAUAGGAAAAGACAAGGACGAUGCGGGAUGGAGCAGAGAGGAAGUGAAAAUGGAUUAUGGGGUGUUUGGAUGCCUAGGUAAUUGGAUAAACAGGGUGUUUGGCUGCAUAGCUUAAACAUAUAAAGUAGUACACGUGUUCUCUUUUAGUUGAGCCAUAUCAAUGGUCAAUGAAAAUUGGGUACCCACUUGUGAGUACCAAGUAUUAUCCGUGGACGGGAGACUUAAACAAACAAAACCAUUGGCUUUGAUGUUUGUAACUUGUAAUUAUGAGGUGGACAUGUGACGUGAAAGAUGUGAGGUGCACCUCUGAUGGUUUUAACUUUUAAUAAAUGUUAUAUAAAUUAUAAAUUAUAAAUUAUUUAGAUAAUAUUUUGUUUUUUUUACUAAGCAAGCAAAUUAUAUUCGAACCCUCCCUUUGUCAACCACGCACUUAGGCUUUAUCCAACUUGCUAUAGAUGUGUUUGUGAUUACAUAUUCAGCCUGUAAUAUUUAUAUGGUCGUUAAGAUGUCUGCAAGGCUUGCAAGCUAAUAUUUAUUAUCUAGGAUAAAUUUCUAUAUUUUAAAAAACACAAAGGUGAAAAUUUUGAACCUCAUAGGAACUCUAUGUGGUACUAAGUCACUCAUGUAUGUUACCAUGCAAUGUAUAAAGUGUAAAAUAUUGUACUAAUUCAUUAUAUAUAAAUGAUUAUGGUGUGUUUAGACUUCUUUCAUUAAUUACUACAUAUUUUAUACACUCACAAUGUUUGUCAGCUCACUAUAUAAUCAACUUGAUAAUGUUAAAUCCAUCAUGCAAUGCAUUUCCUUCCAAUUUUUUGUGAUAAACUAAUAGAUAAUUGACUAAAUAAACAUCCUGCAAAGUUUCAAUAAAAAUUUCCAAGUUUUUCUUACAAUUUCCGUGGUUUCCAUGUAAUUUUUAUCGAUAUCGAUAUUAUCCCGAUAUUUCCAUCGAUAUUUCCGUGUUUUCGGACUACCGAUAUUUCCGAUAUUACCGAUAUUUUCUUCCUUGGCCAUGAUGCAAUAAAAAACUCAACCAUGUCAUAGCAUUUAGAAAAAUAUAUAAUUCAUGGCAUAAAUGCAUAAAACCAUUUUAAAACAUUUAUGGAAACUAUGAGGUAUAUACAUAAUAUACAAAAAUAAAAUGCCCACUCACUGGUAUGUCAUAGGAUUGUAGACCCCUAGUCUCGCUUGUCCACAUACGUCCUCAGGGUAAGUUUCCCCUAUAUGCGAAACAACAAUUUAUAAUUAAUUAAUAAGGACAUACGCUAAAAACUAGGAAUAACUUCCCAUAAUUUGCUUAAACGGAGGGUUCGAAUAUAUGAAAUCAAUUUACUUGACGUCACAGACCUACACGUAAAAACCACUCGCUGGCCGAAGGCCAGACGCACCCUCAUGACCGCCCAACCCACAACCACACGUGCAGCCACGCAUAGGCAUGUGCAUGGUAGGUGACUAAUGGAACAUAGGAAUAUUUUGUCAGAAUUGACGGAAUAUUCUGUUAAAUAGUAAUGAACGUUAACAGCGUUACCUGACGUCAUUAGACGGAAUAUUCUCCUUCUUCUCCAGUCGCUCUUGCCGUUCACAACUUGAAUUUUCGCCGGAAACUGGAAAAUUUUCAAAUCUUUAUAUCUUGCUCAAUUCUCAACCAUUUUUCACGAAAUUUAUAUGGAUUUGAAGCUCAUGAUGAAGGGAACAAAAUCAUACCAUUUGAAAGUCGAAAAACGAUCAGAGAUUGGCCUGAAAAUAGCUCAAUAGCUCCGGCCAAAAAGUCAACCUCUUGAACUCGCUUGUUUCGACUUCAAUGCUUCACGAAAACUAGUCUAGGGACCUUAGGGAGUUGCGUGGAUGCUUCCAAAACCUUCAAAACUUGGUAACUCGACCGCGAUCAUGUUGACACAAAAACCAUCGAGUCGAAGCUUUCGAGUUGCUCUUUGUUGAUGCACAAAACCGAAGGUCUUGGAAUAACGUAAAUCCGACCGUGAAUCUGCAAGAAAGUAAAGAACACAAGAUGUAUCGUGGUUCACCCCAAUGUUUGAGCUACGUCCACACUAAUGUUGAUAUUGUUUCACUCUGAAUGGUGAAUACACAAGAAGACUAGAGGCAGUGUGCUCUCUAGCCUAUUUUUUGUGUGCUCUCUUCCCAUGGCCUAAAACUUGGCCUCCCUUAAUGAGGAGAGUGAGGAGUCCUUUUAUAGAAUAAGGGCUCCUCACUUAUUACAUAUUCGCCCCUUCAUUUAUUACAUAAUUACAUUUGAGUCCCCCGAGUAUUUAUACGAGGUCUAAAUACGGAAGCCCUAAGUAUGGUACAAACACUCUUCGUUGACCACUCAAAACUCAACCAACACGUGAUCUGAGGGUAUGGUUAAGUUCGUGGUGACGAGAAGAGUCCAAAUAUGUGGUUUUCAGGUUCGAUCUAUUAAGAGAUGGUGGUGGUCUUCUUUGUUGCAGAGAAGAGCGAGGUACGGGUUUGAGAGAGAAAAGGAGAUGAGAGAGAGAAAUGAUGGUUUUUGAUUAAGCAGAGAGAAGGAGAGUCUGAUUGGGUGCCAGAAAGAGGGAAGAAGAUUGAUUGGUGAAAAACAUAAGGCACAUACCAAAUUUUAAAGAAGUAGAAGGAUAGGUUUUUACAGAUUUCCCACAGUAAAAGCAAAUCAGAAAAUCUAUUCGGAAUAGUGUUUCUAACACAGAUAAAAUUAACGUACACUCGUAACAACGAGUACAAUUUAUUACGAUAGCGAGAAUACUAAUUUAAGAGCUAAUAAAUACGUCCACGUCACUUGCUAACAAGGGCAUAAACAAUAAUUUACAUAUUCGGGGAGAAAUUACAUAGAAAAUUAGGGACGGGUCGUCACAAUAACUCUAACAACUACUCACAAGAAAUAUAUAUAUAUAUAUAUUUAUUUAUUUAUUUUUAAAUGAAAUUAUCUACCCUAAGAGAAAGGGAUGGGUUUAGUAUCACAAUGAGCUAGCAAUAGUGUGGUUCAAAUUCGCCUUUGACAAGAAUCAAACCUAAAAUCUCUCACUUACAAGUAAAGAGGAAUACCAUUAGAUCAUAGUAUUAAGUGGCAAUAUGAACAAGAAAUAUUAAAAUAUGUUUGAUUAUUAUUUUUAAACUCUGGAGUUUUAUUUAAAGGAAAACUAAUGAAAAGAGUUUGAAAACUUUGAGUUUUAAUGAUAAGGACAAAAUAAAGGGUAAAAUGAAUAGUACCAGGAUUGACUUUUUAGUGUAAAAAUGUGGUUUUUCGUUAAAGUGAACAGUACCGGGUGCUUUUCGUUAAAGUUCCCUUUAUUUAAUUUAAAAGCUAAAAAUUUAUUUAAUAACUAAUUUGAAUUUUUUAAAGAAUAAAAAUUAAAAGUCAAAAUUUAAAACUUAAAGAAUUAAAAGAAAAAAAACUUAAAGAAUUAGCUUUAAAAAACUGCAUAAUUGAAAGUAGUUAUCUAAUAAAUUUCUAAUUUUUAAAAAGACAAAACAAAAAUUGAAAGUGAAAUGAUAAUCAAUUGGCCUUGUAGCUUUCAGUUUUCAUAUUUUAGAAUAGAAAACUGAAAGCAGUUACCAAAAGAUUUUUAGUUUUAAAAAAUAACUACAAACAAAAAUUAAAUAUGAAAUGAUUAUAAAAUGGUCCCUCAACGUUCUAAAGGCCAACUUGGCUAAACAAGUUGCGACCAUAGUGGUGGGUUUGACAGUGAAAAAUGUACGAGAAGAAGCAAACGAGUGUAUCUAAACUCAAAAGGUCGAGAUUGCACUCAUGAUGAAAUAGUCAAACACUUCAGUAAUUAUACACACAAAAAUUGCAAUAUAACAAACAUAAAGACACUAUUUGACAAUAAGUAGUGCUGGCUUGAAGAGGAACUAGCAAUGAACCAACUAGUGUCUACCUAUGUCAAUUUUGUUCGCAACAUCUAUCAAGAACAGUGAAGUAGACCCAAGAGAUGCCAAUAACACACCAACGCAAAACUAAAAAUACUCACUAGGAGAGACUUACAAAAAACAACCUCACCAAGAAGCCUCUUAUUGACUUUAAUAUUAAAAUGAAAAAUAAAUCUACGACAGUCCAGAAGAAGAGAAAAUAGUAAAGCUAGGAGAGGGGAGAGAGGGGCUGUCACCGGCCACUAGCUGGAGCAAGGAGUCAUUUGUAGGUGAGAGGAGAGAGAGGCUAGCAGCAGUUUCUCAUAUCUUAGCAUUCCAAGAGUCCAUGCUUUCGAGUUAUAGUGACAAAAGAUAAAGCAAAAACAAUUGUAAUUUAAACAAGGUCUUUGUGCAGAAAAUUGACGACGUCCACAAUUGUUCAUCAAAAUUUCUGAUUGCUGGCCAGGUCCUAUAGUAGAGAAAAUGAAUAUCGACUAUUGCCAUGAUUUGGUGGAACUGCCUGCCGAGCUCUGUGAUCUUGUUCAUAUGAAGAUGCUCAGUAUCACCAACUGCCAUAAGUUAUCUGCCUUGCCUGAAGAGAUCGGAAAGCUGGAGAAUUUGGAUGUACUGCGACUAAGGUCCUGUACAGACUUGGUAAGGCUUCCGGUCUCGAUUGAGAACCUUGCUAAGUUGUGCUGUCUUGACAUGUAUGAUUGUUUUGGCAUUAGGAAGUUGCCUGAAGGCAUUGGUAAUAUGAGCGGUUUAAGAAAGAUCUACAUGGGACAAUGCUCAAGAUUGAAAGAGUUGCCUCUGUCAGCGUGGGAUCUUGACGAGCAGUUAGAGGAAGUGAUUUGUGAUGAAGAGAAGAAACAUUUGUGGGAAUCCUUCUUAGCCAGAGACAAAAUCAAGGUGGCAAAAGAAAAACCAAUCUGAAUUGGCUCGGAAAGCCUCAGUUGUGAGACCUGUCUUUCCUCAAUAAAUGAAGGAGCAACGCCAAUCUGAAUUAGCUUUCAUCUUCUUGUUUGAUUUUUCUUGUUUGAUUUCGUUCUUUGGUUCUGUUCAAUUUCUAUGUUUCAUCACAUCAGUUUGUAAGACUAUUUAUAUCAAACUCUCGCGUCUCAAGAAAUUUCGUGUUAUUUUUUCUUGUGUAAUUAUCAUGUUAUUGUUUUACACAAUAUAAAUCAUGUGUAUUAUAUUUUCUUGGAUUGUACAAAAAAUACGUUUUUACUGCACCUCAUAUGUCAAUUUUUUUUUAUUUUUUAUGGGGCUCAUAUGUAAAUCAUGCAUCUGGUUAUAUCUAUAAGUUUUCUUUCGUUGCUUACUCUGGUAUAGAUAUUAGGGUAAUGCUAGAGAUAUUAAAUUUGGAGACAAAAUUUGGAAACUAAAUAAUGUAUCACCAAUAAAAAUGAGCACGUUUAUCAACGGUUAAGUAAUAAAUCAAUUAUCAACUUACAUAUCAUUUAAUUUUUAAAAUUUUAUCUACAUAUUUAGUCUUUCUAGCAUUACUCUAGAUAUUAUAUAUUAAGAUAUUUUAAGAUGUAGUUUACCAUAUUUUAAUUUAAUGCAUGCAUAUAAUCGAUAUGCCAUUUAUAUGCUACUACAGUUGAUAUUGUCGAUAUUGCAAAGUUAAAAUUUUCAAAAUAUGAUCAGUAGUGCUCGAAGAGCAGUUUACUGCAACGUAGAAAGAAUGGUUAAAAUUUGAGGAAAAUGAUCAUCGUGAAUCCUUUUCUUAGGGAUUUCGUGAUCGGGAUCGUUCAUUGUACAUCGUGCAGUCAGUUUUCGUUAUGUGCUAUUUAUAUUUAAUUUUAAAUUUUAAAAUAAUUUCUAACCGAACUAUAUACGAUGGACCGCUUCGAUCAUGGGAUCUCCAGGAUCUCCAGAAAAGAGUUCCGUAGAGGAUUCUUUUCCAAAAUUGAUAUUUAUUGCUCAUCGGUUCGUGGUUAAAUAUUGACCGUUUAUUGCUCAUCUUUAUGCUUUUGUCUCCUUUCGAAAGUUGGUUUCACAAUUUAAUAAUAUGUUAGGUGGGUUCUCUCUUUCACUGUGAAAGAUUCCCACACACGAUGCAGUUUCGUGGUGACUUUCCAAGUCUCCCUCCACACUCCAACUCGGAAAUUUCCCAGACAUGGUGGUGCAGCUACUGUUGAAGUCAACGCGCUCCAGCCCCGAAAUUUCUAUCGAGCUUCAAUAGUAAGUAUUUAUAUUGCUUGAUCUCCAACAACGAAAGAGAAAAUCCUAACUUUGUAUUGCUUGUUUUCUUAAUCUCUUUAUUUUGGAAACCAAAUUUAUGUGGCUCACUUUUCUACAGUUUCUAAUCCGUUAUUGUUUUGGGAAAGUGGCUAUGGUCCGAAAUCAAAUCUCAAAUUCUCAAUUCUUAUAAAGUAUCGGCGACAUACUGAAAACUGAUAAUUUCCGCAAUGGGGUGAAAAAUGAUCGUUUCGGCCAAUUUUCCUCUACUUUUGUAAGUUUUUUCUGAUUUUGGUGUUGGUUUUUGUUGUUAAGAAUCAAGGAAUGAAUGGAGCAGGCGGCCUUAUCGGCGGGGCUGCUCUCGGAACAGCGUUCAAUGUGCUGUAUGAUGUCCUCGAUGAGCUGAUUACCAAGAAUGUAAUUUUUAAGCCCCUCCUCAAAGAGAUCAAAUCCAGGUUAGACUCUUUGGCACCAUUGUUGAAAGAUAUAGAAAAAUCCAACAAGAAAUUGGAUCUAUCGGAUAAGGAACUGGUAAACUUGAAAGAACAUUUGGAGGAGGGCGUAGAGGUCGUUCAGAAGUGCAAAAAGGUUCGAUGGUGGAGCGUGUACAAAAGAUACAAAUACGCCAACAGGCUGAUUGACUGGGAUGGAUCUCUUCAACGACUUUUGGAAAUACUAAACGUUCAGGGAAUAAGGGAUAUGAAGGACAGCUCCCUUUCGGUGAGGAAUAUAGAGAAUGCGCUCAGCAGAAUUGAAUCGAAUAUGGUGAUACCAAAACAACCCGACAGUGAAGCUUGGUGUGCAGUACCUCAACUUCCGCCGCUUGUGGUUGGAUUGGAUGUUCCUCUAAGGGAGUUGAAGAGGAUUCUUCUAAAGGACCAAAAUGUUUCAAUGGUUGUGCUGACUGCUCCCGGAGGAUGUGGGAAAACUACUUUGGCUACAAAGUUUUGUCAAGACACGGAUGUCAAAGGUAUCAUAUAUUAUACGUUAGCACUCGGAAUUGUAUGUGUUUUUUUUUUCUUUGUACAACUAUGGCAGAUUUAAAUGACCCCUCAAUGACAGACUUGUUAUGUUUAUUUUGAAUAGAUACAUUCAAGGAUAAUAUCUUCUUCGUCACGGUUUCGAAAAAGCCUAAAUUGGAAAAUAUUGUUCACGAUCUAUAUCAACGCAAGGGUUUCCCGGUACCUACUUUCCAAAACGAAGUCGGUGCAGUGACGUUGCUGCAACUUUUUCUGAAGGAAGUAGGGCAGAAUCCUUUACUGCUUGUCCUGGAUGAUGUUUGGUCUGGAUCAGAAUCCCUUGUGGAGAAGUUUCAUCAAAUCAAAACGGAAAAUCACAAGUUUUUGGUGACAUCUAGGUCUGAAUUUCGGGGAUAUGGUAUCCCUUAUCAUUUGCAAUCAUUGGAUCAUGACAAUGCGAUGAAGCUUUUUCAUCAUUCAGCAUCCCUUGGAGAUAAGAGCUCUCAUAUUCCAAAAGAUCUUUCAGAAAAGGUACUUUUUAGUUGCAAUGCACAAAAUGUAUAGUCAAAAGUUAGUUGACUUGGUCUUGGAAAAUUAUCAAGAUAUUAUGCUCACCUUACGCAAAGCAUCCACAAUCGAGUGAAUGAACAUAUCCAUUUGCCAUAUAAACCUAUGAUUAAUCAUGCAUUUAAGCAUACCUACUUGUGGCCUAAAACUAAAAUUACAAUAAUGUAGAUAGCUAUUUAGCCAUUUUCUCAUCUUAGUAACUUGAAUUUUGGUUCUGCAAUUUAAAAGGUAGUUGACUUUGUUUUGGAAAAUUAUCCUGCAGAUAGUUGAGCGUUGCAAGGGAUUUCCACUUGCCAUUACAGUGGUGGGGAGAUCGCUUUGUGGGGAGCCUAUAGAGAUAUGGCAAAAAAGAGUAAUUGAAUGGUCCAAAGGUUUUUCUAUUCUUGAUUCAGAGACUGAAUUGCUUUUGUGCCUUGAACGAAGCUUGGGUGCCUUGGAUAAAGAAAUGGCUGCCAUCAAGGAAUGUUUCUUAGACUUAGGUUCAUUUCCGGAAGACCAAAGAAUUCCAGCUGCUGCCCUCAUUGAUAUCUGGGCAGAGUUACAUGAUGUAGAUACAGAUAUAGAGUGCAUUGCAAACCUGUACGAGCUAACCAAACGAAGUCUAGCCAAUCUUCUUGUUACAAGGUGUGCAUGCUUUGUUUUCUCUUGUAUAAUAUUUUCGCUUUUUUUUCCCCCUUAUUAUAUUCACGACUGGUUGAUGCUAAUAACUUGUUAUUGCAAUAUGUUGGUUAAAGAAAUCUCUUCUAAGAAAAUUAGUUUUGAUCAUGACCAGGAAGGACAAGAUGGAGGGGGACGGAUACUAUAGUGAGCACUUUGUUACCCAGCAUGAUGUUCUUCGGGAGCUGGCUAUCUACAACACAAAAAAGGGACCGGUUGAACAUAGAAAAAGACUGAUUAUUGACAUAUGUGGAGACAAUCUUCCAAAAUGGUGGAGAGAACAGAAGCAUCAGCCGAUGAAGGCCCGCUUAUUAUCCAUAACAACUGGUUGUUCCAUCUCUCCCUUUCUCUUUAGCAAUUACAUAGACAUGCACAAAUAACUAGUCAUCCUUGCACACACUCGGUCGUGCACACAUUAAGUAAUGGUUUCUUUUUAGUUUCUGCUCCUCACACUUAUGGUUGUUACUUUGCAGAUGAAGGGUUUUCAACUAAAUGGCACAAAAUGCAAAUGCCAGAAGUUGAGGUUUUAGUAUUGAAUUUCCAGACAAAGAACUAUGGUUUACCCGAAUCUGUGGUGAACAUGGAUGAAUUGAAGGCUGUGAUAGUCACAAAUUAUGGUUUCUUACCUGCUGAAUUGAGUAACUUCCAACUUUUGAGUUCGUUACCAAAUCUUAAGAGAAUCAGAUUAGAACGCAUCUCAAUUCUUUCCAUAACCAAGAAUCCCAUACAAUUGGCGAGUCUGAAGAAGAUAUCCUUGUUCAUGUGUAAUAUUGGUCAAGCUUUCAAUAACUGUUCCAUCUCAAUCUCAUCAGCAUUCCCGAAUCUAGAGGAAAUGAACAUCGACUAUUGCAGUGAUUUAAUUGAAUUACCCGCCGAGGUUUGUGAUCUUAGUAAACUAAGGAAGCUCAGUGUCACCAACUGUCAUAAGUUAUCUGCCUUGCCUGAAGGGAUUGGAAAGUUGGAAAAUUUAGAAUUGUUGAGGCUAAGAUCCUGCACAGAACUGUCAAAGCUUCCAACCUCGUUGAAGAACCUUGGAAAGGUAAACUUUCUUGAUAUAUCUGAUUGCUUCAGCAUCAAGGUGUUGCCCGAAGACAUUGGUGAAAUGAGUAGUUUAAGAAAGAUCAACAUGAGGCAAUGCUCAAGGUUGCAAGAGCUACCUCCAUCAGUCAUGGAUCUUGAGCAGUUAGAGGAAGUGGUCUGUGAUGAAGAGACAAAAGAUUUAUGGGAAUCUUUCUCGUCGUGUCUCAACAACGUAAGGAUAAUUGUGGACAAAGAGAAUAUGAACCUAAAUUGGCUCCACAAGACUCACUUCUGAUAUGUGUAUCCUCAGUGAACGUUGUUCUUCAAACUCUGGUGUGUGUUUUUAGUGGGACUUGUGUAAACUCGACUGUAACAUAGUUUCUGUUGGUGUAUAAAUUGUAUCUGAUGUGACAGUUAUAAUUCUAGAUUAUAUUGCUAGAAUAAUUAGUUAAGUGCUGAUUUGGUUGUAUCUUGUUUCUGUUAGUGUGUAAAUUGUGAUUUGAUGUGACAGUUAUAAUUCUAGCUUAUAUUGCUAGAAUAAUUAGCUAAGUGCUGAUUUGGUUGUAUCUUGUUUCUGUUAGUGUGUAAAUUGUGAUCUGAUGUGCCAGUUAUAAUUCUAGCUUAUAUUGCUAGAAUAAUUAGCUAAGUGCUGAUUUGGUUGUAUCUUUCUUAUUUGAGUCUCACAGGUCUUAAAUAAGUAAGGUGCAAAGUGUCUACAUCUCAUAGGGUGUAAGAUGGAAGGUUGAGAUUGCUUUGAUGUAUUUUGAAUACCACCAAAAGUGUAUAACUGUUAGAAUUCGAGUGAUAUUCCUUCACUAUCUCUCUAGCGAAUGUCAUGGUGAAUGUGUGUGAAUGAAAUCUUAAGAGUCAUAUUGACGCAGGACAGAACCAAAGGUCUCGAGAAGAAGGGGAUAGAUAACUUGGGAUUCGCUCAAUUAGGGGUAACAGGGCUCGCUCACGUCGCUAAUUGUGGAUUCAUACACACGAUCAAGCCAAAUGCUUGAUUUUAGAAGGAGAAAUCACUCUCUUCAAAUGCACAAGGCAAAUACAAAUUUAAUUCAUUCAUGUCUCCCUAAACAUACAUACGGAGUCCCUUAAAUAGAGAGAUUACAAUACAUUGGUAGGAUACAUAUAUAUAACUAACGAUUAUAGUUACUAGAAACCUAAUAAAACAUAGCCUUGAAAGAUGAAAAGCUACAAACAAUCAAAUUUAAUAUAAAAACUAUAUUUAAUGUCGUGCAUUGCAUCAUACUCCUCUUCUCGAAAAAAACUCGUCCUCGAGUUUCAGUUGACUUUUGGUUUUCCCUCAAUCUUUUGGAAGGCCUUUCAAACUUUUCCAUAACAGGUACAAUAGCACAAGAAAUUUACGAGUGUUCGUAGUCUUGAUCCAUAUUCUUUCUUCAAAUGAAUAAGCUUGAAAUGGCACAUGACUCCAAUGGUGAGCAAUGCGUUUUUGCCCAAUGUAGAAGUUGUGCAUUAAUUAAGUUUGAAUUUACCACCUCGUUCAUAAAUUGUAAAGUUUCCUUCACAUCCACAAUCUUUACUUGGUGCUCAACAUUCAAGAAACUACCUUCAAGAAUCUCAUUGAUCACGUGAAUAACAAUAUCAUCUUUUAAGAAAUUAUACAAACUUGAGGAGUAUAACUUGCUUACCUCACUACCAUCCUCAUCAACUUCAUUCACAAAACGAUUAUUGACUUCAUCUUCAUCAAUGUACUCAUCAUAAAUUGGUGGUGAAUCCCAAUUGACGAAACUAUUUCUUUGAUAGUGUGCUCUUCAAUCAAAUUGUAAAUCACAACCAUAGUCUUCAACUACAGCGGAAAACCUGCUCUGAUGCCACUUGACGCAUGACAGAACCAAAGGUCUCGAGAAGAGGGGGAUAGAUACCUCAUAUUUGCUCAACCAUGGACAACGGAGCUUACUCAACGUCUUUACGGGGAUAUCCCAGGUUAUCAUCCCCCGUCUCCCCAAGACUCCUUUGGCUUUUGUCCUGCAUCAAGUGACAUCAGAGCAGGUUUUUCGUUGAAUAUGAAGAUCAUGGGUGAGAUUUUUCAUCUGUUUGAAAAUCAAUUGGUUGAAGAGACUAGCUCGGUCGAUUGAAAUUUGCCGCCAAUUUAUGACAAGUACUUUGAUGACGACGAAGAAGUCAAUAAGAACUUUGUUGAUUGGAGUUCUACACCAAUCUUUGACAAGAAAAAUGAUUAUUAUAAGUAUUUGAUUUUAGUGGCUAAUCAAGAGUGUUGUAGGCAGCUUGAGGUCACUUGUUCUCCAUAUUGGGAUUCUGCCCCAAUUUUUGUUGACUGCCAUGUAGACGCAAGUAAGAGUUCAUGGGUUGAACAACGAUGUGGACAAAUUAUAAAGAAUGUGAAGCCUCUUGCAUUAUGUUUUCAUGAUUAUAUUUGGGAUGAAUUCAUUGAUUGUGCUUUGGUUAAGAGAAAAUGCUUGGAUAAGGAACUACCUUUUGCUCAUUAUUGGAGUUUUCUUUUCUCAUUCAUGAGUAUUUACGGUCUCUUAGAAGCAAUAAGUUUGGAAGCCUAUAUGCAUCGCAAUUCUUUUGGAAGAAAAAAGGGAUUAGUCUAUACACGAUCGAAACAAAAAAUAUAUUAUGAAUUUUGUGGUCUUUGCAAUGUUGUACGAAUUGUGAUUAUCUUACUAAAAUCUUUACUUUGGGAAACAUUGGUUGGGCAUCCAAAAGAUCGAGGAAGACCAAAUGAAAUUCGAGGACGAAUUUUCUUCGAGAAGAGGAGAAUGAUGUGGGAGGAAGACUCAGAGAAAACAAUUUGAAACUAUUAAUAUGCUUUGGAAUAACAAAGGUUUUGUAUUUUAAUUACUUAGGAAUUUGUUAAGUUAUUUUGGGAGUUGUAAGGGUGUCAUGGAAACUUGAGGUCUAUUAAUUUGUAAACGCUUAUAAAUAUUGUACUAGAGAGCUUUGAAUGACAGACUUGAAUGAAUUAAAAAAUUGUAUUUGCCAUGUGCAAUUGAAGUGAGUGAUUUCUCAUUCCCCAAUCAAGCAUUUGGCUUGGUCGUGUGAGCGAAUCCACGAUUAGCGACGUGAGCGAGCUCUGUUGCCCCUGGUUGAGUGAUUCCCAGGUAUCUAUCCCCCGUUCUUUCUAUUUCCCUCGGUCCUUUGGUUCUCUUCUGAAUCACAUAUUCUCUGUUGCUAUCUUUCUCUUCUCUCUAUCAUCAUCCUUCAUUUUUGUACUGGAUUUUCAUCUAAAUUCUGUGUGAAUCUAUGAAGUCAUAGCUCACAGUGUACCAUUCUCUGCUAACUUUAACAUGGCCUUAGAGCCAGGUUGGGUCUGAAUCUCUGGGCGUCGAUUAUGUGAGUGGUAGUGAGUUCAUCCUCGCAACAUCUCGUUGCAAAGAAACUAGUGAGAGAGAGGUGUGAUCUUAGUUUAAUAUGGCUGGGUCUGGCGGAGGGGAGCUUCGAGCUCCGAAAUUCAAUGGAGAAAACUUCGAUUUCUAGCAAAUUUGAAUGAAGAUGAUUUUUCGAUCUCACGAGUUAUGAAGUAUUGUUGAGACGGGUUUUACUUCUCCAGCGAAGACUGAGAAAGAGAUAACAGAGGCGGAGAUGAAGCUACAUCGUGAAAAUUUGGUCAAGGAUGUAAGGGCUCUUGAAAUCAUUCAAGGAGCUGUAUCGGAUUAGAUGUUUCUACACAUAACAACUCUAGAAACUACGAAAGUAGUAUGGGAUAUUCUGAAGCAAGAGUUCGUACGAGACAAACAAGUACGAUCUGUGAAAUUACAGGGUCUUCGUCGUGAUUUUGAGUAUACACGUAUGAAUGAAGGUGAAUCUCUAGCUGCAUAGUUGGAUAGGUUGUUUGAUUUGAUAAAUCAGAUAAAGAGUUAUGGAGAAGAUCUUAGUAAUCAGAUAAUUGUGCAAAAGUUAUUGAUCAAUUUACCCAAAACAUAUGAUAGUAUAGCUUAUGUUAUAGAGAAUACUAAAGAUAUAGAAGUAAUUGAUGUUCAAGAUGUGGUUGCUAUAUUGAAAGGGUAUGAACUAAGGCUAACUAGACAUGGAGAAAGUAGUAUUGAGCAUGCAUUUGCUAGUUUGAAUAUCUCACCUAAGAAUGGUAAAUUUUGUAAUCAAAAUACCAAUGCUGGUGGAACAAAAUUUCAGAAGAAUUUCAAGUUUAAAGGGAAACAGUGGAAUAACAGGUUCAUUCUAGGUGUAAGAAAUGAAACGAGCAACACUGUUAGUGCUUGCAAAUACUGUGAUAGGCUUCACUAUGGAGAGUGUUAGCUGCAUGGGAAGAUCAAAUAUCCCAAAUGUGGCAAGCUUGGCCAUAUUGCCAAGGUUUGUAAUCUCAAUAAGAAUGUUCAGCAAGGGAAUUUUGCAAACAAAGUGGAGGAACCUGGAAAUCUAUUUCUUGUUAAACAAACAAGUGGAGUGAAAGUUGUGAGUGACAUUUGGUAUAUAGAUAGUGGAUGCAGCAAUCAUAUGACCUCCAUAGAGGAUCUGCUUGUGGACAUUGACAGAAGUAUUAAAGCAAAAAUGUAAGUUGACACAUGGGUUCUAGUUGAUGUGAAAGGCAAAGGAACUCUUGUUAUUGACACUGAGAAGGGAAAAAGAUAUAUCAGAGAAGUCAUGCUAGUACAUGGACUUGCAGAGAACUUACUCAGUGUUGGACAGAUGACUGAACAUGGGUAUUUUCUUGUGUUUGGUGAUUACAAGGUGGAUAUCUUUGAUGACAGAACAUUGACAAACUUGGUGGUUAAUGUGAAGCAAAAGGGGAACAGGUGUUUUCCACUAAUGUUCAAAUCCAAUGAUCAACUAGUAUUAAAAGUUAAUAUGCAUCAGUGUGCUACAAUGUGGCAUAGAAGGUUUGGACACCUAAAUUAUAGGAGUCUGAAGUAAUUGCAGGAACAUAAUAUAGUUCUUGGAUUACCUGUGAUGCAUGAUAGUGAAGGUGUGUGUCAUGGAUGUGCAUUGGGAAAGAAUCACAGGGAGUCUUUUUCAAAGGAAUCAACAUCGAAAGAAAAGAUGCCACUUGAGCUAAUACACUCAGAUGUGUGUGGCCCUAUGCAAACACCAACAAUGAGUGGAAAUAGGCACUUCAUUACAUUCAUUUAUGACUAUUCAAGGAUGUGCCAGAUCUAUUUCUUGAGACACAAGUCAGAUGUCUUCCAUGUGUUCAAGAAGUUUAAGGCUAUGAUAGAGCUUCAAAGUGGUUAUUAUGUGAAGAAAUUAAGAACUGAUAGAGGAGAAGAGCUCACUUCAAAUGAGUUUGAAAAGUCCUGUCAAUCUUUGGGGUUAGAGAGGUAGCUCACUGUUGCAUAUUCUCCACAACAUAAUGGAGUUGCAGAAAGGAAAAAUAGAACCAUAGUGGAGAUGGCUAAAUGCAUGCUUCAUGAGAAAGACCUUCCAUAUAAUCUCUAGGGUUAAGCAGUGAACACAUCUGUGUAUCUCCUAAACAAGUGUCCGACAAAAGAAUUGGAGAAUAUUACACCUUUUGAGAAGUUCAGUGGAAGAAAACUUGGAAUUAAACACCUGAGAAUGUUUGGCUCAUUGUGUUAUUCUCUCAUUCCAAGAAAUUUGCAGCUUAAACUAGAAGAAACUAGUGUCACUGGUAUCUUCAUUGGAUAUGAUACUUGUGAGAAAGGAUAUAGAGUGCUUAAUCCUGAAACACAGAAGGUGAUGCUCUCAAGGGAUGUGAUCUUUGAUGAGAAUGGAAAAAACAUAAAGUCAAGGAAGUGUGCAUCCCAUUUUCUGCAAAUGAAUAUCUAAAUAUGAGUGAAGUUGAUGAAGGUUCAGAUUUCAUGGAACAUGUUGUAUCUGGAGGUUCUCAAAUCCAAAUUGAAGGCUCUCCAACUACUGUCUCUGGUGAAUCAACCAACUCUGUCUUUAUACCUAAGUAUGAUGAUACUCCACUGAAAUAUAGAAACUUAAGUGAGAUUUGAGAGAUGCCAUUUCUGUAUUAUUGAACCAUAAUGCUAUGAUGAAGUUGCAUAGGAUGAAGCAUGGAAGAAGGCAAUGGAAGAUGAAAUAUGUAUGAUUAAAAAGAACCAAAUAUGGGAAUUGGUAAGGAGACCAUCUGAUAAACCUGUGAUUGGGGUAAAAUGGGUGUACAAAAUAAAGUUAAACUUAGAUGGCUUAGUUCAAAAGAAUAAAGGUAGGCUUGUUACAAAAGGCUAUGCACGAAAGCCUGAAAUAGAUUAUAAUGAAAUCUUUGUACCUGUUGCAAGGUUAGACACAAUAAGGACUCUCAUUGCACUGGCUACAAAGAACAAGUGGAAGCUAUUUCAAUUGGAUGUGAAAUGAUCUUUAUUAAAUGGUGUACUUGAAGAGGAGGUGUAUGUAGACCAGCCAGAUGGGUUCAUUGUGCAAUGAGAGGAUGAUAAGGUUUACAAACUGCACAAAGCCUUGUAUGGUUUGAAUCAGGCACCUAGGGCUUGUUAUGGAGAGAUUGAUUCACAUUUUGCAAAGUGUGGUUUCAAAAGGAGUACCAGUGAGGCAACAUUGUAUACCAAGUGUAGAGAAGACUCAGAGAUGAUUAUAGUAUCAAUUUAUGUUGAUGAUAUAAUCUACACUAGAAGCUAUCAAGAUUUAAUGGAUGAAUUCAAAGCUGAUAUGAUGCAUAAAUAUGAGAUGAUUGAUUUGGGACUUUUACAUCAUUUUCUUGGUAUAGGAGUUGUGCAAACUGAAGAAUGCAUUUUCAUACACCAGAAAAAGUAUGCCUCAUAUUUGAUGAAGAAAUUUGGACUCCGGGAUUGUAAACCUGUGAGCACAUCACUGGUACCAAGUGAUAAAUUGAGAAAGGAAGAUGAAAGUGGAGCUGUAGAUGAAGCUCAAUAUAGAAAAAUUGUAGGUAGUUUGUUGUAUCUCACAACAACUAAACCUGACAUAAUGUAUGCUGCAUGUUUGUUAGCAAGGCUCAUGCAUUGUUCUUCUAACAAGCAUUAUGGGACAGCAAAUAGGGUUCUAAGAUAUGUUCAGGGGACUCUUGAUUUUGGCUUGGAGUACAAGAAAGGCGAAUGAGCAAUUCUGAUAGGAUUUUGUGAUAGUGAUUAGAGUGGUUCAGAAGAAGACAUGAAAAACACAUCUGGGUAUGCUUUUACCUUUGGCAAUGAAGUUUUCUCUUAGGCUUCAAUCAAGCAACAACGUGUUGCUUUAUCCACAGCUAAAGCAGAGUAUAUUAGUGCAUCUGAGGCAACAACUCAGGCUACUUGGCUAAGGUUUGUACUGGAAGACUUUGGUGAAGUGCAAUCUGUUGCAACACCAAUGAAUUGUGACAAUAUUUCAGCCAAAGCUAUCACUAAGAAUCCUAUUUUCCAUCAGAAAACCAAGCAUAUAAACAGGAAGUAUCAUUUCAUAAAGGAGGCAUUGCAGCAAAGAGUGAUUAAUUUGGUUCACUGUCCUACAAAUGAGCAAGUUGCUGAUAUGUUUACAAAGGCAUUAGCAAGAGAGCAAUUCACCUAUCUCAGAGAAUUUCUUGGAGUGAAAUCAGUUCACAGUUUAAAGGGGGCUGUUAGUGUGUAAAUUGUGAUCUGAUGUGGCAGUUCUAAUUCUAGCUUAUAUUGCUAGAAUAAUUAGCUAAGUGUUAAUUUGGUUGUAUCUUUCUUAUUUGAGUCUCAUAGGUCUUAAGUAAGUAAGGUGUCAAGUGUCUACAUCUCAUAGGGUGUAAGAUGGAAGGCUGAGAUUUCUUUGAUGUAUUUUGAAUACUGCCAAAAGUGUAUAACCGUUAGAAUUGGAGCGAUAUUCCUUCACUCUCUCUCUAGCAAAUGUCAUGGUGAAUGUGUGUGAAUGAAAUCUCAAAGUCAUAUUCUCUGUUGCUAUCUCUCGCUUUUCUCUAUCAUCAUCCGUCAUUUUUGUACUGGAAUUUCAUCUAAAUUCUGUGUGAAUCUGUGAAGUCAUAGCUCAUAAUGUACCAUUCUUUGCUAAUUCUAACAGUUUCAAAUUCAAUCUCUGUACAAUUCCUUGACUUUUUUGUUUGAAAAUCAAUAUCUUCAUGCUCUCCCAAAAUAAAUUCAACACCAAGGUUGAAGAGUCUCAUAAGAUAAGAACUUUCAUGUCACGGGUCAGGUGUUAAUCUCGUUGUGGAUAAGUUUCAAAAUUCAACACCACAAGGUUGAAGAGUCCCAUAAGAUAAGAAUUUUCAUGUCAAGGGCCAGGUGUUAAUCUUGUUGUGGAUAAGUUUCACUAGUAUCUAUGCUAAUUUCUACUGGUCAAGUUUCCAGAACUGUUCAUAAAUAAUCUAGAUGAUGUUGCACCAUAUAGUUCACAAAGUAAAAUAUAUUAAUAAGAAAAAAGAGAAAAAUCUCUACAACCCUCACAUACGUGGACCUCAAUGUGCGACAAGUUUGAGUUUCUGUAUGUAUGGAACUCUCCCAAAACUCUCAUGUUCUCCACUAAGUGAUGGCCUUCUCUCAACCUCUCCACAUCCUCGAAAAGUGGCACACGUAAUAGAAUGGAAAAGGAUCUCUGAACUACUCUUUACGUCUAUAAAAAGACGAAGGCUAGGUUCAAAUAAAAGGAGGAGACAUACAGCAAAAAGCUCUGAGAGAGAGAGAGAGAGUAAAGAGAGCAGCGAAUGAGAGAAAAAUGAAAGUUGCAGAAAUAGAAAGAGAGUCUUAACAGAAAGAGAAGAAAUGAGCAAAUGGCUGCAAUUAUGCAGAAUGUUCACGGGGAAGAAGAAUCAAAGGUAAAAGUUUUAUUCUUAUUUAUCAUUUCUUUCCUUGCACUAACCUCCACUUCAUGGCGCAUGACCUUCGAAGCAAAGUUAGUUUCCCACAUGCUCCUACAAAGAAAUGCUCCAGUGAAGGACCUCUCUUUAUAAUAAAUCAAAAUGGUGCCAAUCCUUUUUUACUCUAGAAGCAAUCUUCCGGUGAUCAAAGCUGUUGGGCAAGAAAAAAAAACUAGAAGUAACAACCCUUCUCCGCUAUCAAAGUGCUCUUCGAAAUUAGACCAAUAAGGUUAGCUUUCAAGUGAUUGUAGCAGUUCGGCAUGCAAGAACAAAAAUGGUUCCUACCACAAGAAAAGCACUUAAAUUCUCGCCUUUUUUCGAAAGAACGUAACCAAUCAGCAUAGAAGGAUGGUCGAAGUCUUCUCGUCAAGACUUUCUCGGCACAGUAUAUCUGCACGCAGACGCAGAGCUGCAGGAAAGUCAACUUCUUCAAGAUGUUCAUCUUUAGCGGCUCGGAUUUACUCAUCAAGCAUUUUCUCGGCACAUCAUGUCUCCACGUAGACACGGAGGUGCCGGAAAGUGAUCUUUACGGUGAAGGUCAAAAUCUACUCGCCAAGAAUUUUCUUGGCACAGCAUGUCUCUAUGUAGACAAGAAGGUGCGGAAAGUGAUCUUUAUGUUGAAGGUCGAAAUCUACUCGUCAAGAAUUUUCUUAGCACAACAUGUCUCUAUGUAGACACGAAGGUGCCGGAAAGUGAUAUUUACAAGAAAAGUCGAAAUCUACUUGUCUAGAAUUUUAUCGGCACAACAUGCCUCCACGUAGACACGGAGGUGCCGAAAAGUGAUCUUUACAAAAAAGGUUGAAAUCUGUUAAUCUAAGAAUUUUCGGCACAGCGUAUCUAUACGUGGAUAUAGAGGUGCUAGGAAAUUAACAUCUCUACACCAAGACAUUUGUACGCUAACACUAUGAAGAAAUUCUGAAGACCAUGAAGGUUUUGAAUACUGCAUAUCAUGUAGAACAAGGAAGCAGUAGCCAAAUGACGAUGUCAUCGCCAGUCCCCACUGUAGCAACGAGGAACAGUAGUCGCCAUCUCGUUCGAUUCCAAAUGAUGAUGGCGGCAUGUUCUUCUCUAGAUCACCAACUGUGCAGAAGAAAGAACGUUCAGAUCAUUCCCGCCAAAUACCAAGAUAAAGCUGAAAUGGGCUCUUAUUGGAACAAAUGAAGAAAAAUAAGGAAAUUUUUUGGAGGUCAUUUUCAAUGGCAAAGCCAGAAUUUCAUGAGAAGAGGCAUUCACAAAUGUAAAAAAAAUGGUGGCUAACAAUUAAAAAUCUACUAAACGUAGGGGUGGAAUUUUUUCCCGAAAAUCCUGAACCGUCCCGAACCCGUCCUGAAAUUUGACCGAAAAAUGCCCGAACUAAAUUUCCAAAAAAAUUUGAUACCUGAAACCGAACCCGUCCUGAAAGUUUCAGUUUGGGAUUCGGCCACAGCUUUGAACACGUUCGGUAAUCCCGAACCGAACCCAAUAUUAUAUAUAUAUUUUUUUUAAUUUUUAAUUAGAAAUUACUCGAAUCGUUGGAUUUGUUAAGAAGAUCUAAUCUAACCAUCCAUUGAGUUAGGCUAUUUGUUAGGUCUCUCAGACUCUCUCUCAGUCACUCUCGCUCACUCUCUCAGUCUCUCUCACAGUCACUCACACUCUCACUCACAGUCUCGCCGCUCGUGCUCUCUUCGCUCCACUCCUUCGUCGAAUCCACACCGUUCCUCGUCCUCCAUCGACUCACGCCGCUCCUCCUCCUCUAUCGACUCACGCAAACAUAGGAAUGAAGUCUCGAGUCUGACACCAAUUGAAUCCCAAAAUCCAGGUAAGGGUUUCUGAUUUUCACUGGGGUUUUGUUCUUUAGUGUUUAGGGUCAAAUUUCAUGUUGAUUAACUUGAUUUCUGAGUAUUUUGUCGAAUGUGUGUGAGGGUUUGAGGACUGUGGGUUUCGAAUUAGGGUAGGUAACUGUAGGACCUGCAUGCAGGAUAUGGUUCUAUGUGUUUUGUCAAAAUAUCUUCUCUCCAAAUGUUUUGCAAUGGAAAAUGUAUAAGAUAUGGUUCUAUAUUAAUUGCAGGAGCAUUCUCACCAAUAUUCAAAUGAGUUAAGGAAGAUCUGAAACAUAAAUUUUGUAGAAUGAAGUAGACCACAGUAGAGCUUUCCUUGUCUAAUUCCAGCAACAUAGCAGCAUCGGAUAUACAGGUAACAGGCAUAUCUGAAGUGGUUAGUUCUUAACUAGAAGAUAUUGAGCAACAAAUAUUUUUGUUUUUGCAUGCACUUUUUUUUCCCUCGUAAUCUCCGGUCCAUUUUUCUCAUCCCCUUGUAGUUUUCCCAUUGUUAUGUAUAUCACACUCGUAAUUGAUUGCAUUGACUUGAACACAUCUUGUGCUGCUCUUCACUUCACUUUGUGUUGUAUUGUAUGCCAUACUCCUAACAUGAAUAAAUUAAUGUGGCUGACAUUGCUUUCUUUCUUUUAGAAAAGUGAUAAAAUUUUCUUCUUGGCAUUCAAAAUUAAUGCCAUACUUCUAACAUGAAUAAAUUAAUGUGUUGAUUUUGAAGAUCUUUAUGCUGUCUUUGGACUCCGUGGCAUGCUCAAACUUACAUUUGGAGAGAAAAUACUUUAAGAUAGAAUAUUUUGAUUAUAUUCUGAGAUAAACAUGUGUUUGACUUUGAUAUAUAUAUUUGUUUAUGGAUUAGUUUAUGGAAUGUGCACUCUGUCAGUUUAUGGAUCAGUUUAUGGUUGUGAUAUAUAUGUGAUAUAUAUGUGUUUGAUCAGUAUAUGAGAUGAGAUAUGUGAAUCUUAUAUAUAUGUUGAACUGUGUUGUGAUAUAUUAUUGUGCAUUGUCAGGAUGGACGGGUUUGGUAAUGGUAGUGGUAGCCAAUCACAAUCUACUAGUACACCUAGGAUCUUGGUUUUAGUAAAACGAAAGCCACAGUACAUUCGAACUGAAUACUAUGAAGAUUAUUGUGAUGAUGAUAUGGAUAUGGAUACUGAUAUAAGGUUAGAAGAAAUAGAUGAAGAAAUAGAGGAAGAAGAAGGUGAGGAGGAUAAUGUUGAAUUGGACAAGUGGCAGAUGCCUUCGGUGGCCACAUUAGCAAGUAGGGUGGGUCAACGAAAAAAAGUAAUAGGACUAAGGGGCCAAGUCCGGCUUGGAAUGAUGCCACUAAGGUAAAUGUGACCGAUGAAUUUGGAAUUACACGAUUAUGGCAGAGUGCAAUCAUUGCAAAAUGCAAGUGCAGGCGGAGUCCUCUAGACAUGGGACGAAAGGUAUUCUUGAUCAUUUGAAGAAAUGCCCGGAUUCUAGUCUCUACGAGGCACUGGAUUCGAAACAACCAUUGUUGUCACAAGGGAUGAUGGGGGGUCAAGUUGUCGUUCACACUUUCAAUAAAAAAAGACUUGAUAUGAAAUGUGUGAAAUGGAUAAUAAAAACAGAGAUGCCUUUUAGGGUGGUUGAUCAAGAGGACUUUAGAGAUUGGAUCUAUGACUUGAAUUCAAAGUACAAGCUUCCAAAUAGGCAUAAGGUGGAGGCGGCGGUUUUAGAAUUGUAUUUUACAUAGAAAGAAAAAAAAUCAAGAGGGUGGUUGAUGGUUUAAGGGUGAGUAUCACUACCGAUACUUGGACCUCAAUCCAAAAUAUUAAUUACAUGGUGGUGACGGCACAUUUUUUUGGACAAUGAUUGGACUUUGCAUAAGAGGAUCCUAAAUUUUGUUCAAAUUACGUCUCACAAGGGUGAUGAUAUUGGGAGGUGUCUAGAGGUAUGCUUGAAUAAUUGGCUCAUAGACAAGGUAUUUAGCAUUACCGUUGACAAUGCUAGUGCCAAUGACACCGCCAUUGCAUACAUGAAGAGAAGGCUCAAGUCCAAUGGUACUCUUUUACUUGAUGGGGCUCACUUGCACAUGAGGUGUGCUUGUCACAUCCUCAAUUUGAUAGUUAAAGAUGGAAUGACGGAGCUUAGUCGUGAGAUUGAAGGGGUAAGGAAUUGUGUCAAGUUCAUACACUCAUCUUCCGCGAGGUUGGAGACUUUUAGGGAGUAUUGCGUCUUGAUGAGAUUUGAUAAGAUGUCGAAUAUUCCUUUUGAUGUUGUCACAAGGUGGAAUGCCACCUAUGAAAUGCUCAAUAAUGCCUUCAAAUUUAAGCAAGUGUUCUCAAGGAUGGCGGAUGAGUGCAACAUUUUCAUCUCUUACUUUCAAGAGGAGGUAUUUAAAGAGAUUAAUGGGGUCACAACCAAGGUGAAACAGGUGGGUCCUCCAGUGGUAGAAGCUUGGGAGAGGGCUGUGAGUUUUGCUCACUUUGUUAAAAUGUUUUAUGAUGCCACCUUGACACUUAGUGCAACCUUAACUUCAACUUCAAACUUAAUACUUGGCAUGGUGAUUGCAUUGCAAGUGGAGAUAGAAGAAAAGAUUUGCAAUUCCUCUAAUGCCACUUUGCAAAGUGUGGCAACUUCCAUGAAGCUUAAGUUUGACAAGUAUUAGGGGGGACAUUGAAAAGGUUAACCCUAUACUCUUUAUAGCCCAAGCACUCGACCCGAGGUACAAGUUUGAAAUGUUGGAGGCAAGCCUCCGCUAUUCAUGUGAGGCAAUCUUGGAUGUGAAGAUAAGUAUUAAAAAAAACUUGACAGAUUUGUUUAAGGUGUGUAUAAGGAGGGAGAGGUUUCUAGUAGUAGUAGUGUUACCGUGGAUCAAAGGCCAAGUGUUGUGGUAGAUGAUUCUUCGGGGUUGGAAGAUGAUGAUGUUGCCACAAGAAUGCAAAGGAAAAUCCAACAAAAAAAGCUGCGGCCCAACAAAACGAGAUAUCCAAUGAAGUGGAUAUGUAUUUCAAUGGUCCUCACCAAAGCUUAACAUAUGAAGGUUUCAAUAUUUUGGAUUCGUGGAAAGUCAAUUGUGGAACAUAUCCAACUCUUAGUAAGGUUGCUAAGGACAUUUUUGCUCUUCCUAGUAGCACCGUUGCUAGUGAGAAUGCUUUUAGUCUUGGUGGAAGAGUUGUAGAUCUUUUUAGAGCUUCCCUAACACUAAGAACAGUUGAGGCUUUGGUGUGUACAAGUGAUUGGCUGAGGGGGAAUGAAAUGUCCUUCUACAAGGAGCCUACAAUUGAUGACCUCAUGUUCUACAAGGAACUUGAAAACUUGGAGAAGGGUAAGUGAAGUAUUUGAUUUCAUGUUUUUAUUUUCUUAGUUUUAUAAUUUAUGCAUUCACAUUCUAAAUAUAUUUUGUGUUUUAUUGUUUUUAUCGUUUUAGAGUUGCCUAAUAUGGGAGGUGAGGAGAAUCCCACACAAAGUGAAAUGCCACCUCCUCCACCACCUCAAGUUCAACGCCGCCCGUCACCACUUCCGCGACCACCCAUUUCAAGAGCAUCUACACCAACAAAAGGAGGAUUCAAUUAUCAAUAAGAGGAAGGGGUCCACCAUCAACGGCAACGGGUCAUUCAUCAACAAGGGGAAGGGGCCGAAUGGGCUAAAGGGAAUGAACUUACUUAAGCUUCAUUUUGGUUGCAUGCACUUUCUCGUUUAUAAACUAUGUUUUGCUUUUGGUUUGUAACUUAAUCUAAAUUCAUUCGGAAGUUUGGUUUGUAAAAUUUAACUUAUUUCAUUUUGGUUGUAUGCACUUUUAAUUAACUAGUUUGGUAGACAAUUGUAAACUUAAGCUUAACUUGUUAGUUGUUGCUUCCUUGGUAUGAAAAUUGAAACUGGUGGUAUUGUGAAACUGAAAUUGUGAAGCUUUAUGUGAUAUUGUGGUGAAUUGUGAAACUGAAAGUCUGAAACUAGUGGGCUGUGCGUGCAGGCAGUGGGCUGCAACCUCCAAGCCUGCAAUUGUUCCUUUUUUUUUCUUUUUUCUUUUUUUUUCUGAAAAAUGGGUGGGCUUACUUGUUAAACAGCUUAAAAUUGUAAAAAGUUUUAAAAGCCCAACAUUUUGGGCUUCAAGGCCCAAUCCCAAAGUGACCCGAAAAUCCCGAAACACUUUCAGGAAUCCCGAAUUUCGGGAAAUGAAUAGUUUCGGUUUGGUUUCGGGAUAUAAAAUCCCAUCCCGAAAUGUUUUGGUUUGGGAUUCGGGUUAGGGGUUUCAGUUCGGGAUCCCGACCCGAACCAACCCUAACUAAACGAAACAUCAUAAUAACAUAUUCAUUGUCAAUGGUGUGUUUGAAGGUGUUUUGAAAAUGACUGAAGAUGUUUUUAAUGAAAGUGUUUAUAGAACGAAUCCUUAAUUAAAGUGUAAAGUAAAUUCGAAAAAGAACUUGAAGUGCUUACAAGAAGUACAUAAUUGGUGAUUAUUCCAAACUUUUGAAACCUAAAAACACUUUCACCAAAAGCAUACUGAAUGUACUUCCAAGCAUGCAAAAUAUUACUUGUUUCAUGGUAACUUUGUCAUCUAUACUAUUAACUUUGUCAUCCACACACCUCUUUUUAUUUCUCACACACCACUCUUAAUUUAAAUAGUGCAAAUCAAUAAAAAAAUUCUAAACACUAACACAGUAACACUUAAAUAAGGGGUAGGAUAGAGGAUAAACAAUAAAAAGUUACAGACAAUAAGAUAGAUUUUACAAAUCUUAUUGUUCGUUGAAUUAAUUUGAAUUUGGUAUGACUAUAUAUAUAUAUGAAAUUUCAGAAAAUGAGAAGAAGAAUAACUUUGUAGAUUUGGAGUCCCAUUUUUGGGUUCUACCGUGAAAGAGAAAAAUUUAAGUAGAUUUUUUUUUUCAUUUAAAAGUGGAGGUUUAGUGAUAAGUUUUUUUUUUAUCAAAUGCUAAAGAUUAUUAAUUCUAUAUGAUAUAUAUAAUAAAGUAUUAGAGUUAGUGGUGAGAUGUUGGAAGUUGAAAUUUGGAAUAGGAAGAAUAGAUUUGAAUUGUUGUACUAUUGACCAAUAAGAGGAGGAUUCUAAAUGAAGGAGGCACAAUACCAAUUUGAGGAGGGUUGCAAAGAAAAUCUCAGGAUGAGCCUAGGCCCAUCCUUGUCUCAAGGUCCGUCCGCCACUUGUUCACGUGGUCCCCCGCAACCCAGGUCCUGUCUGCAGAGUAAUUAGGCUCGCAGAAGUCCAAAGUUUACUGCAAGCAUGGUCUCUCGGAAAAAAAAAAAAAGGGAGAAUCCAUUAGGGCUUAAUUUUGGCAGUCCGAAGACUUCCAUUCAAUCAUGAUGACGUGCAAAAUUUUGCACAACAUGAUUGUGGAAGAUGAGUACAUCAAAAUUGAAGAAGAUUCAAACGAAGAUGUGAAUGAUGAUCAACCAACACAUGCGAGAGCUAUUGCAAGAGAUGUUGAAUAUUUCGCUCCAACCACAUAUGAGACCAAAUAGGAUAGGGUCACCUUGAGUGAGUAUAUGAGAUGUUUAAAUAGAAUUCAAGCUCUUCAAUGUCAUGACACACUCUGCAAGGAUUUGGUUGAGCAUGUAUAGCGCCGAGAAGGUGAACGUUGAUGAUGUUGGUUAAGCAUUUAUGUAAUAAUUUUAAGUAUACUAUGUUGUUAUUUUCUAGUAAUAAAUUUAAGUGUCUUCUUGUGCAAAAUAUUUUGUCUAGUACGUUGGAUAAAUUAUUGAAUGGAGGUUGAAUUAUUGAAGGCAUCUAUUCUACAUCAAAGUGUGGAAUAAUAAGUACAAUAAUUAUUGAAGGCAUCUAAAUUAAUAGAAACAAUACAACCAAUAAUACAUAAACUUAAUACAACCGAUAAUUCAUAAACCACAUAAUUAAUAAAUUAAUAAACUUAAUUAAUAAAGCACAUAAUUCAUACACUACAUAAACUUAAUAAUCAUAUUCACCAUCUUCACUUGGUGAUGGACUUCGUUGAAAUGUUGGGAUAUAGGGUUCAAAUGAUUCAUCAUCUUGAAACAUACUCCUUGAGGCAAACUUUCGCAUAAUUUCCUUUUGCUUACCACGUAAGAACUUCUUCCUCUCUGGAGUGUAUUUGCUGAGGUCCUUCAUCAUGAAUUCAAUUUCAAACCUAUUUUCAUCCCUAUCCAAGAUUUCCUUCAUUUGCAAACGCAUUCGGGCCGUUUCAUCUUGGCGAGCGCUAUGAGUUUCAUUCAAUUUUGCAAUUCCGGUAUCAAAGUGUCAUCGGAUCUUGGGACUUCCCUUUUCUCUUUGCUUCAUUUUGUUUAUCUCUUCCCGAUGGCCUUGCAAAAGAAUGAGAUGGGGUCAUUUCAUCGACACCUUCAUCUCCGACAUUUGUCUGUGCGGCUUCACAUUGAAAUAAUUUUCCCCAUUGUUGGUCCGCAUCGGUUCCCCACCUUGGACAAUCCUUGAGGACGUCCCAAGCAUGUUGCAACUUAAAAACUUGAUUUUUUGGUGUUACUCUUGUCUUGUAAAUUUCGAUUGCUUUGUCACCCUAUGCAAAAAAUACAUAAAAAUAAUUAGUUGCAACAUAAUAUUAUGUAUAUAACAAAUAAAAUAUCAAGAACAAAACUCACAAUUUAUGUGGCACUCCUUCCACUAGCCAUGCCAACCACGGCUCUCUCCAAGUUUCCCUUCCAUAAAGUGCAUGUUUUGUUGAUAGUCUUCCACCGAUCAUAAACACCACCACCAUCCCACCCGCCGCCAUUGCAGUUUUCUUGAAACUUUGCAAUUAUUUUAUCCCACAAAACCUUCUUAUUUUGAUUUGUGCCAACUGCACCAUCUUCGCUAACAGAAACCCAUGCCAAGCAUAAAGCAACAUCUUCCUCACAUGUCCAAUUAUGACCUCUAAUAUGCUAUCUUGCCAUGUUGAACAAUUUGGAAAUGGAAAGAAUUGGUAGAAAGAUAAAUUGGAAGAAUUGUAAGAGAAAAUUGAGUUUUGUGUGGAUUUGAACAAAUACAUAGAUAUUUAUAGAGUUUUUGGGUGAAUUUUGAGUUAAAUAUUUUUUUAAUUAUUUUAGCCGUUGGAUUUAAAUUUGGGCCGUAAGAUUUUUUUUUUUACCGUUAGAUUUGAUUAUAUUCAAUCUCAGCCAUUGGAUUCAAUGUAUUUUAAAAUAACAUAUUCUAAAAAAAAUUAAAUUUGAAUCUGGACCGUUGGAUCAACCAACGGUCCUUAAAGCCCAGCCAUAUGAUCAAAAUUAUAGCCGUUGGGUUUUUGUGGGUGGCCGACAUAAGCCUGACAGCGGGGCCCAUCGCUGUCGGGAAACCUUUGCAAGUGCACCGCGUGGUGCGCGUUGGAGCGUGGGCUGGCCGAGACUGACCCAACAACCCGCGAGUCCACUCGCAUGGGGGGGGGUAUUUGGCCCAGCUUUGGCAUUUGACAUUUAGCCUAAAGUUUUAGCAUGGGUUGGAGAGUGUUUAGGGGGGAAAUGUGGGGGGAAAUUUAGCAUUUAGCCCACCAUUGGAGAUGGUCUUAGGAGGGGUUUAUUUGAAAUCAAGAUCUUUAGUUCUUCUGCUACUCAGUACUAUGGUAUGAUAAUAUUUCUUUUCAUUUGGAAGUGAGAAGUCUUAGGUUCGAAUCUCCUAGAUGGCGUCUUUAGUUCUUCUGCUACUCAGUACUACAGUAUGGUAAUAUUCAUUUUCAUUUGGAAGUGAGAAAUCUUAGGUUCGAAUAUCGUAGAUGGCUAAUUCGAUACCAAAUUAGUUUACGCAUUGUGUGGUCUAUCCAAAUUUCCCCUUCUCUUAGUAUAAAAAAUAUCAAUAUACUUCAAAAAAAAAAAAAAAAAGAAUUUGGUUCCUCUUUGAUGCCGUGACAAGUAUGCAAGGAAACAAAAUUCCCUGUGGCAAAAUAAAAGCAUAGCGAGUAGAAUUCAAAAUGAUCAAAGAAUACCGCAUCUCCAAAUAAAUAACUAAAAGAUGUUUUAUCUUGUCUGCCAUGUGAAGUCAAGUCCAAGUUCACAGGGAAGAAAAAAGCUUGCUGACAACUUCCCAAAUUAAUUGAUAAAAACACUCACGUGGCAACCCUUAAAAAAUAAGUUUUAACAAACAUUUUGGUACAGUUCACUUUUUAAUAGUUCACUUUUAAUGAAAAAUCAUAUUUUUACAUUUUGGAAUUAAUGAACUAUGUCUGCACAAGCUGAAACUGCACAAGGCACCAAAUCAAACACAAAAUAUUUUUCUUUUCAGUGGGUCUUUCACUCUUUGGAAUUAAUGAAUUAUGCCAGUUUGAUUUCGCUAACGAUAUGUAGGCAAUCUAGAGAUUCAGUCUAGAUGCAAUUGCACAAAGACAAAAACCCAAAAUUGAAUCUCUGGUUCAUCUCAACCAAAUUCACCAUAAAAUCCAAAUCGAGCCCCUUAUUCAUCUCAACCAAAUUCACCACAAAGUCCAAAUUGAAUCCCUGGUUUAUUCAACCAAAUUCACUCAAACAAAUUCGAAGUAUUCAAAUAAACCAAACACAAAACUUUUUUUUAGUGGGUCAUUCACUCACUAAAAAUCUCAAACCAAAUCAUCCAAGAACUACGAAUGGCUUGAUCCCUCCAAAAAGAGUACGUAGUAAUCAAGGGCUCAACCGAGGUGCAGUUGCAAAACCAAACAAACAUCCAAAUCCCCAAGUUAUGAUUUAUUCAUAUUGGAAUCAAAAGGUUAUUUUAUUUUUAAUCAAAGGUUGUAAUUAACAGACGUAUAGUCUAAAAUGGGUCAAACAAAAAUUAAUAAAACCCUCUUCAGAAAAAUGAACGAGAGUAAGAUUGUGUCUGAUAGAUUAUUUGUUACAUUUUUGUACAAUUUUUGCUCAACAGAUGCAUUGCCGAAUCUAGAGAAUUGAUUAGUUAUUGACUAUUGCGAUGAAUUGGUCUCAAACUAUGUUUUUCAACAAAUACAGCUCGAUUAAUCUCAUUCAACGUUAAUAGUUGAAAAAAAAAAAAAAAAAAAAGAAAGGGUCAUAUUUUCUCUUUUGGUUACAAGAACGUGCCAUAUUUUCUUUCUUUUAAAAGUUGUUCUGAUGAUAUAUUUAAGAAAAAAACAAUAGGCUUUUGAGCUUUUCACAGAGAAGUCAUUGACAAAGUAGAUAAUAAAUAAUAUUAUACUUUAGAAGGAAAUACACAAAUUUAAUACUUUAGAAAAUAAAUAACAUCCAUUAUACUUUAGAAAAUAAAAUAUACAAGUUUAAUACUUUGUAAUGGAAGAACGGCACACAAUAGAAAUUUCACAACUAAAAAUUAAUUAGAGCAUGUCAAUAAUUAAAAAAAAAAAGACUUGGCUUAAUGGGAAGGGCUCAAAGAAAUUUCACAGCAAAUAAUCAAUUAAAGCGUGACAAUUAGGUAAAUGAGGAGGUUUUUUUGCUCUAAUUGAGCUCUUGGAAAGUAUUUUUGUAUAAAACUUAUAGCUUUGGAACCAAUAAUUGUACAUUAGAAAAGAUAGCUGAUAUUUUUUUUAUUAAAAAGAGAGCUGAUUUUUAAUUAAUCAAUUUUGAAGUUUUUGUGUAUAUUCUAUGAAGACAUAAGGGAACUAUACUACAGUCUCCUCACAUAAAAUUCUCAGCUUUGUUAUUUUUCAUCAAACUAUGAUUCAUGCAAACGGGAUCAAUUUAUCAGUAGAUAUAUGAUACACGUAAAUGAGAUUGAAAAUCAAUAGAAAUGUUCCAUGAGAUUGUCUACCAUCCAUUAUUUUGAUCAUUCCGUUAAAAACUCCGUUAAGUGUCCCGGAGCUCUUGGCCGAAAGUUUGGGCAAUUUUCAAAGCUUCGUAACUCAAUCGUUUCUUAACCAAAUUAGACCCAUAAUAUAUCAAAAUGAAGAUAGGAAAGUGUAGAACAAGAUUAUACCUAUUUGGAAUCCCAAUGGUUGCCCGAGAUGGCUGGAAAAUAGCCUGAAAGCUGAUUGGUCAGCCGGAACACUGGAAAACUCGCCGGAAACUGGAUAAACUUUAAACAGUCAUAACUUCUUCAAUACUCAACUAAAUCGAGUGAAUCAAAAACAAAAAUCAUACUUCUCAACAGGACGAAGAGUAUGAUACCUUUCUCGACUGCUAAAUCAUAGUGGUUUGGCUGGAAAAUGACUCCAAAGAGCCUGUCUGGUCUCUAGUUAGCCACUUUCGAGCCGUUUUCGGUCAAACCACUGCAAAUUAGCCAUCGCGAAAGGUACCAUUCUCUUUGUCUCGUUGAGAAGUAUGAGUUUUGUUUUGAAUCACUCGAUUUCGUUGAGUAUUGAUGAAGUUAUGAACGUUUAAAGUUUAUCCAGUUUCCUGCGAGUUUUCCAGUUUUCCCGCGGACCAGUCAACUUUUAGGCUAUUUUUCGGCAAUCAUUGGCUUCCAAAUAUAUAUAAUCUUAUUCUACACUUUCUUAUCUUCAUUUUGAUAUAUUAUGGGUCGAAUUUGGUUAAGAAACGAUUGAGUUACGAAGUUUUGAAAAUUGCCCAAAUUUUCGGCCAAGAGCUCCGGGACACUUAAUGAAGUUUUUAACGGAGAGACCAAAAUAAUAGAUGGUGGACAAUCUCAGGGACCAUUUCUAUUGAUUUUCAAUCUCAGGGACCAUUUCUAUUGAUUUUCAAUCUCAGGAGCUAAAAUGAUGUGUUAUACAAAUCUCCGGGACCAUUUGACUAAAAAGCCAAAAAAAAAAAAAAAAAGGGCCAUGUGUUGUCAACUUUGUUGAGGUCGCCCACUACGCCUUCAUUUACCUUACUCGGCAGUUUGUGGGCUCGGAUUGCAGGACGUUUCCAAGAAACGAAACAGUAGAAUAACUGAAGGGUCGGUUAGCGAUUUCGUAACCAUUUCAUAUACAAUUUACAGUGAGCGUGAUGCAUCAUCAGUUUUGUCAAUGCAUGACUUUUAUGAAUGUAUUUUUGCUCAACAAGUGAAGUCCUACCAAAUGACACGAUAACUCCAACAACUACGCACAAUAUAUAUAUAUAUAUAUAUAUAUAUAUAUUUUUUUUUUUUUUUUUUUUUUUUUUUUUUUUGAAAAAACGAAAUUAUCUAUAUAAUAGGAAAGGGGUGAGCUUACAUCACAAUAAGCUAGCAAUAACGUAGUUCAAAUUUGCAUUUGGCGAGAAUCAAACCUAAAACAUAUCAUUUACAAGUGAAGAUGAAUAUUACUAGACUGUAAUACUAAAUGGUAAUGUGCAUAAGAAAUAUUAAAUACAUUUAUUUAAUAACUAAAAUUAAAAAUCAAAAUUAAAAGUCAAAAUUUAAAACUUAAAGAAUUAGCUUUAAAAACUGCAUAAUUAAAGGUAGUUAUCAAAUAAAUUUAAUUUUCAAAAAAGAUAAAACAAAAAUUGAAAAUGAAAUGAUAAUCAAUUGGCCUCGUUGCUUUCAAUUUUCAUUUUCUUCAAAAUAGAAAACUAAAAGCAGUAACCAAACGAUAUCAGUUUUAGAAAAUAACUGUCACCGACCACAAGUUGGAGCAAGGAGUCAUUUGAUAGGCGAAAGGAGAGAGAGACUAGUAGUAGUUUCUAAUAGGAUUUUUAGCUAAAAUGAUCUCUGAAAUUUGCAUAACAUCACUUUGGUUCCUGAGAUUGAAAAUCAAUAGAAAUGGUCUCUAAGAUUGUCCACCAACCAUUAUUUUGGUCAUUCCGUUAAGUGUCCCGGAGCACUUGGCCGAAAGUUUGGCAAAUUUUCAAAGUUUCGUAACUUAAUCGUUUCUUAACCAAAUUCGACCCAUAAUAUAUCAAAAUGAAGAUAAGAAAGUGUAAAACAAGAUUAAACCUAUUUGGAAGCCUAAUGGUUUCCAGAGAUGGUAAUAAAAUAGCCUGAAAUGUGACUAGUCCGCCGGAAAACUGGAAAACUCGCAGGAAACUGGGUAAACUUUAAACGUUCAUAACUUCUUCAAUAGUCAACGAAAUCAAGUGAUUCAAAAACAAAAAUCAUACUUAUCGACGAGACAAAGAGAAUGGUACAUUUCUUGGCGGCUAAAUCCUCGUGAUUUGGCUGGAAAACGGCUCAAAAGUGGUUGUCUUGGUCUUGAGUUAGCCACUUUCAAGCUGUUUUCCGGCCAAACCACGGUGAAUUAGCCAUCAAGAAAUGUACCAUUCUCUACGUCUCAUUGAUGAGUAUGAUUUUCGUUUUUGAAUCAUUCGAAUCAUUCGAUUUCGUUGAGUAUUGAAGAAGUUAUGAACAUUUAAAGUUUACCCAGUUUCCUGCGAGUUUUUCAGUUUUCCUGCGGACCAAUCAUAUUUCAGGGUAUUUUCCGGCCAUCUCUGGCAACCAUUGGGCUUCCAAAUGGUAUAAUCUUGUUCUACACUUUCCUAUCUUCCUUUUUAUAUAUUAUGGGUCGAAUUUGGUUAAGAAACGAUUGAGUUACGAAGCAUUGAAAAUUGCCCAAACUUCCAGCUAAGAGCUCCGGGACACUUAACAGAGUUUUUAACGGAAUGAUCAAAAUAAUGGAUGGUGGACAAUCUCAAGGACCAUUUCUAUUGAUUUUCAAUCUCAUGAACCAAAGUGAUGUGUUAUGCAAAUCUCAGUAACCAUUUUGGCUAUAAAGCCUUUUUAAUAUAUUGGCAUUCCAAGAGUCCAUGCUUUCGAGGUAUAGUAACAAAAGAUAAAGCAAAAACAAUUGUAAUUUCAACAAAGGUCUUUGUACAGAAAAUUGACAAUGUCCGCAAUUGUUGCAUCAAAAUUUCUGAUGCCUGGCCAGGUCUAGAGGAAAUGAUCGACUAUUGCCAUGAUUUGGUGGAACUGCCUGCUAAGCUCUGUGAUCUUGUUCAUAUGAAGAUGCUCAGUGUCACCAACUGCCAUAAGCUAUCUACCUUGCAUGAAAGAUUGGAAAGCUAGAGAAUUUAGGAGUACGACAAAAAAAAAGGACCUUUUGGGACGGUCAAAAUGAGUCACAAAAACAGCAAAAAGCGUCGCAGCAACCCUUUUACAACGGGCUUGCGAGAGCCAAUGACUCGUUGCAAUACAUAGGCGUCGUAAAUGUUGGUUGAUUAUAUCCGACGUUUUCACCGUGUCGCAAAUACUAUUUGCUACAGGUUUGCGACAACAAGUAACGCAUCACAAAUAAUAGGCACUAGGUUUUAAAAAAAUAUUAGGCGUCAAAUGAGACUCCACAAUCACAUUAUUUUUAACAGCUUCACCAAAAUUGUUUCAUGUGAAAUGUUACUACAUAUUUCAAACUAGAAUAAAAUCCAAUACUGAUACAAUUCAUAAUUCACAAAAUGAGAAACACUUGGAUAUCAAAGAAUGUAUUUCACUUACAGUAAUGAAACAUAUAUACAUGAUCAAAACGUUUAUAGGUUCUAUAUUCCUACGUCAAGGUCCUCAUGAUAAUACAAACCAUGUAGAAUUGUCUUCAAACGUCUGCUUCCACCUCUCGUCAUAGACCUCCUCAAAUAUGUCCUUAAACCUGGAGCAGUCAAAUAACUCAACAUUUGUAAGAAUUUCCUUAUUGAACUAAAUGAUAUAGAAUUCAUAGUUGAAUGAUGAAUAAUUCUUCCAAGAAAGGUAAAUUUACCUGCCAUCAUACUUCACUAGUUCUUCAUAAUAGUGUUUUUGGUGCUCAAGUAUAGUGGCCACUUCUUGGAAAGAGCCAAAGACAUUGACAAGUCGGCAAAAGCUCGAAUAGACUACCAAAAAAUAAAGGUUUUUUUAGUAGAGUUUAUCAGCACAUUUGCCUAAACAAACAAAAAGGUAUGCGAUGCCCAUUGUGGUAACACAAACCUCAUCAGCAUUAUACAUAGAAAGGGCCACACCAGGCCCUUUGAAAUUGUGAACAUCAAGUGCAACAAGGGAGACUCCUUCUGGGACUUAGCAUUACAAACAGAGAUGCGAAGCAGAAAACCAUAUUCAAGGGAAAUUACUUCACCAGAACAAUCAUAUGAUCUAGAAUGUUGAGAUUUACUUACCAAAAACCAUUUCAAGUUUUCAUGGCCCUUUGACAACUGUAUCAGGCUCGAUACUGAUCGCCAAAGGCAUGCCUACGAAUACAUAUGGCUUUCUUCCAACCUGUAAAUUGGACACGUAUUGAGCACUUCCCAUAACAUUUUACUUACAUUCAAGAUUAGAAAUGACUUCAAGCUAUUACCAGGAACUAUUCUAGGGAUGUUUCUACAUAGAAUAGUUUCAUGAAAAAAUAGCACCUGUAAAUUAAAGCAUUACAUUUCAAUUAGAGAUUGUUCAAACAGUUAGGUAAUCUUUCAGAUGCUAACUUAAUUUGUAACUUAUGAACGAAAACGAGUAACAAAACUAAGAGUAUUAAAUUUUGUUUUGUAUUAAAAGGAGAUGACGUCUCAGAUACAAACCGUCUAGAAUGUUUCUAAUUGUGCCCUUUGGACUCCACAUUGAUUUCAACCCAAACUCCUUCAUUCUGGUCUCAUCUGCAAGGUAUAUGAGAAAUUGAAAUUAGAUGAGACAACAUUUAAAUGUCCAGGUAGAGCAGAUAGAUCAUCUUAUUGCUAAGGAAAGUAUUUGAGCAGCCAUAAUGUAUAUCGUAAAGGAUUCAAGGUCCUCGUGAUAAUACAUACAAAACAGCAUUAUAGAAAAGCAAAAACAACUAACCAGGGGUUACUGUAGCACAUUACACAACAAAAUUGUGCCUGCAGGGCAUAAAAGGUUAAAAUCAAACAAAUAGAAGAAGCAAAAACUAACGAUUCAAAGGUAAGAAAUGUUGGGAUACGGUCCAGCCCAUGAUGAAUGUUCUAGAUUAUUCUAGUAAACAAGUGAGGUGGCUGGAGCAUGCUAGACAAUUCUAGCAAGUUAUUAAGUUGGUGGAAGAAGCUAGAAAAUAUUAGCUUCCUUGGUUGCAAAUGGAAAGAUCUAGAAGCUACAAUUUUGUGACUAGUCUAUAAUUAAGCUAGAGGUUUGUAGAAUAUACUAGAAACUAGUUCUAGUUUGUAGAAGGAACUAGAAACUAGUAGAGUGCCAAGUCCUCACCUAUAAAUAUGGGUGUGAUAUUGUAGUGAUUUAACCAAUCAAGAAAGUAGUGGGUAGCGAAGGAUCAAGUCCAAAGCUAGAGUUCCACUCCAAGAGUGAGAGUGAGAAUGAGAGUUCCACUACACAUUGUGUGAGAGAAGUUUAGAGUGUCCAUUUUCUACUUUGUGCAUUCUCUAUCUUGUAGUACUGACAUUCUUAACAAGUGGUAUCAGAGCCCGGUUGGCUUAUACUACAAGAUGGAAGGAAGUGGCACUAUGAUCAAACUCACCAACUCCAAUUGGGUAACAUGGAAGCCAAGGAUGGAGGAUAUUCUCUAUUGCAAGGAUCUGCAUGAGCCAAUUGAAGGAGAUGCCACUAAGCCCGAGAGCAUGUCCGAUGCUGAGUGGAAGAAAAUGAAUCGCAAGGCAAUUGGCACAAUCAGACAAUGGGUGGACGAUAGUGUUUUUCACCAUGUGUCUAAUGAAACCAAUGCCCGUGAGUUUUGGACAAAGCUUGAGUCCUUGUUCGAGAAAAAGACCCCAGCCAAGAAAGUCUUCUUGAUCAAAGCUCAUCAAUGUGAAGAACACGGAUGGUUUAAGUGUAGCAGAACACUUGAACAAUUUCCAGAAUAUCAUCAACCGGUUGGCUACUAUGAACAUGACAAUUGAGGACGAGCUGCAAGCGCUCUUGUUACUUGGAUCCUUGCCAGACAGUUGGGAUACCUUUGUGGUGAGUGUAAGUAACUCUACUCCUAAUGGUGUUCUUACUCUUGAUAAUGUUAAAAAUAGCAUGCUUAAUGAAGAAACAAGGAGAAAGGCUUCUGGCACAUAUAGCAGCCAAGUAUUUGUCACAGAGAACCGCGGAAGAAGCAAGAGUAGAGGGCCUAGAGGUCAUGGCAGGAGUUCUAGCCGAUCCAAAUCAAGGUUCAGGGGUGCAUGCCACCAUUGUGGCAAAGAAGGCCAUAUGAAGAAAAAUUAUUGAGUUUGGAAGAGAUAGCAAAGGGAAGGAAACAAUCAGAAGAAAGAUGAUACUGGCAAUACCACCGCAAUCAUGUGGUGAUGUAUCAGAAUAUUGUCUGUUGGUGAAUGUCUGCAUAUGGGUGAUUCUGACAAAGACAUUGAAUGGAUCUUUGACAAUGGAGCUUCCUUCCAUGCUACAUCCAAACGGGAGUUCUUCAGUACAUACAAAGAAGGUGACUUUGGCAUAGUGAAGAUGGGGAAUGAAAGCAAUUCCAAAAUUCUUGGAAUUGGUGAUAUUUGCCUAAAAACUAAUCUCGGCUGCUAGUUGAUAUUGAAAGAUGUGAGACAUAUUCCUAAUAUACGUCUCAAUUUGAUAUCCAUCGAUACCCUUGAUCAACAAGAUUAUUAUCACCAUAUUGGCGAAGGAAAAUUGAAGCUUACUAAAGGCUUAAUGGUGGUAGCAAGAGCACGACUUUGUUGUAUGUUGUACCGGUCAAAUGCCAAGGUUUUGAAAGGUGAGUUGAUUGCUGUGGAAGACUCAUCUCUAGACUUGUGCAUAAGAGGCUUGGCCACAUGAGCGAGAAAGGCCUACAAGUUCUAGCAAAGAAGUCUCACAUUCCCUUUGCCAAAGGUACGUCGUUAAACUCUUGCGAGCACUGUUUAUUUGGUAAACAAAGAAGAGUUAGUUUUUUUGUUCCAUCUACAAAGAAAGGAAAUUUGUUAGAUCUUGUUUAUUCAGAUGUGUGUGGUCCCAUGGAAGUCGUGUCACUUGUAAGAAAUAAAUAUUUUGUUACUUAUAUUGAUGAUGCUUCACGAAGUGUCUGGGUGUUUUUGUUGAAAUCCAAAGACCAGGUGUUUCAGACAUUCCAGGAGUUCAAUGCCAUGGUGGAGAGGGAAACUAGAAAACCUCUCAAGUGCCUUCGUAGCAACAAUGGCGGCGAGUACACAUCUCACCAGUUUAGAGAUGGAAACUAGGAAACCUCUCAGCUGCCAAUGAAGUGUCUGCAGAACCAUAUAAUGCUGAUCAUGGGGAGCCUAAUCCAGACCAUGAAAUUGUUGAUCAGGGGGAGCCUAGUCAAGAAUAGCAGAAUCAAGGAGAACUACAUCAGGGGGAGCCUCCAACCCCGCAAGAGAAUGAAGACCAAGUCAGAAGAUCCAGCAGAAGUCGAAGACUGUCUACCAAGUAUUCUUCAUCAGAGUAUAUCAUGUUGACAAAUUAUGGAGAGCCCGAAACUUAUGAGGAGGCAAAAGCUCAUAACAAUAGUGACAGAUGGAUUAAGGCAAUGGAGUCAAAGAUGGAUUCCUUAUUAAAGAAUGAUACCUAUGAGCUGGUGGAGCUUCCAAAAGGCAGAAAAGCAUUGAAAUAUAAGUGGGUGUUCAAAUUGAAAAGAGACGACAACAUGACAAGGUACAAGGCUCAUUUGGUUGUCAAAGGUUUUGGUCAAAAGAAAGGAGUUGACUUUGAUGAGAUUUUCCCACCGAUGGGGAAGAUGACUUCCAUUCAAGUUAUCCUUGGUAUGGCAACAAGCAUGGAUCUUGAGCUCGAGCAGUUAGACGUUAAAACUGCAUUUCUCCACAGCAAUUUAGAAGAGGAGAUAUACAUGGAGCAACCCAAAGUCUUUGAAGUCAAAGGUAAAGAAAAUUUGGUGUGCAAGCUAAAGACAAGCUUAUAUGGUCUUAAGCAGGCUCCAAGACAGUGGAAUAAGAAGUUCAACUCAUUCAUGGUGAGUAAUGGGUACAAGAGAACUUAUGUUGACUCUUGUGUCUAUAUCAAACAAUUUUCUGAAGGUAAAUUCAUUAUUUUAUUGCUUUAUGUUGAUGACAUGUUGAUUGUCGGUCAAGAUGCUUCUAUGAUUAAAAAGCUCAAAGAAGAGUUAUCUAAGUCGUUUGACAUGAAGGACUUAGGGCCAGCCAAGCAGAUUUUGGGCAUGGUGAUAAUUUGUGACAGAAAAUCCAAGAAGUUGUGGAUGUCACAAGAAAAGUAUGUUGAAUGGGUGCUUGAAAGGUUCAACAUGAAAGCAGCCAUACCGGUAAGCUCACCCUUAGCCAAUCAUAUCAAGUUAAGCAAAGAGUAGUGUCCAAAAACAUAUGAAGAAAAGGAGAAAAUGACAGUUGUUCCCUACUCUUUAGCGGUAGGAAGUAUCAUGUAUGCAAUGGUGUGUACACAACCAGAUAUUGCUCAUGCAGUAGGUGUGGUAAGCAGGUUUCUCUCUAAUCCAGGGAAGGAACACUGGGAAGCUGUUAAGUGGAUUCUCAGAUAUUUGAAGGGGACUUCUAAGAUGUGCUUGUGCUUUGGCGGUUCCAAACCAAUCUUGGAAGGAUUUACAGAUGCUAGCAUGGGAAGUGACCUGGAUGGUAGAAAAUCUACGUCUAGGUACUUGUUUACUUUUGCAGGGGGAGCUGUCUCAUGACAAUCCAAGUUGCAAAAGUGUGUUGCUUUGUCCACAACUGAGGCUGAAUAUAUAGCCGCUACAGAACCAUGCAAGGAGUUGUUGUGGCUGAAGCGGUUUCUCCAAGAGUUAGGUUUGAAGCAAAAUGAUUAUGGCGUUUAUUGUGAUAGUAAGAGUGCUUUGGAUUUGAGCAAGAACACUGCAUAUCAUUCACGCACCAAGCACAUUGAUAUUCGUUAUCACUGGAUUAGAUAGGCUAUUGAGAACAAGUUGCUACAGCCGAAGAAGAUUCAUACCGAUAAUAAUUCCUCAGACAUGUUGACAAAGGUAGUCACAAAAUCAAAGUUGGAAUUCUGCAUUAAGGCUGCUGGGAUGGACUCCAAGUAACUUGGAGUCAUGAUCGAAAUUCCUCCCUCAUGGACUGGAGGGGGAGAUUGUUGGUAUAUGGUCCAGCCCAUGAUGAAUGUUCUAGAUUAUUCUAGUAAGAAAGUGAGGUGGCUGGAGCAUGCUAGACAAUUCUAGCAAGUUAUUAAGUUGGUGGAAGAAGCUAGAAAGUACUAGCUUCCUUGGUUGCAAAUGAAAAGAUCUAGAAGCUACAAUUUUGUGACUAGUCUAGAAUUAAGCUGUUUGGAUUUUGGCUCGUCAAAUAUGUCCUAGUUGGUUUAGGAUUGUUUUAGGAAACCUAGAGGUAUACCGAUUCUUGUCCUAGAGGGAUUAGGAAAGAAUUUCAAUUUCUUUAUUCAAUUUAGGUUUGGAUUUCUAGAAGUCUAUUUGGAUUUGGAUAAGUGUAAUUUCCUAGUCCACUUGGAAAUAAGAAUUCAAUCAGCCUUAGGACAUGUAAGCCAACUCUAUGUCUAUAAUAGGGUGCGGCAAGGCUGAUUUUUAAGAGGAGAGAAAGAAAACAGCCAGACAGCCAAGAGUUUUGAGAUUAGUUUUAGGGUUUGCAAAAGUUCUGUAAUCUUUAUUAUUAAUCAAAGGAGAGGUGAUUUCUCUACCUAGAGAAAUAACAGAUGGACGCAGGCAAAAGUUCUGCCGAACCAGUAUAAUUCUUGUGUGUUUCUAAUAUUUGCUAGUUUAGUCUAUUGCCGUUGGUUACAUUAAAGAACAAGGUCUAGUGUGCGGGUUUUUCAACAUAAGCUAGAGGUUUGUAGAAUAUACUAGAAACUAGAAACUAGUUCUAGUUUGUAGAAGGAACUAAAAACUAGUAGAGUGCCAAGUCCUCACCUAUAAAUAUGGGUGUGAUAUUGUACUGAUGUAACCAAUCAAGAAAGUAGUGAGUAGCAAAGGAUCAAGUCCAAAGCUAGAGUUCCACUCCAAGAGUGAGAAUGAGAAUGUUCCACUACAUAUUGUGUGAGUGAAGUUUAGAGUGUCCAUUUUCUACUUUACUUUGUGCAUUCUAUCUUGUAGUACCGACAUUCCUAACAAGAAAUACAAAGACACUAAACAAAUUCUGAAUCAAACUACUUACUUAAUAGUGGCUUCAGCGCUCUUUACUGUAACUCUGUCAUCGGUUGCAUCACGGUUCAAAAUCCCUAAAGCAUAGUACUUUAUAUCCAAGUCCAGAUAGGGAAAAAUGAGCAGUAAUAGCAUACAAAUGAAAAACUCGGAUUAAAUCAAAUAAAUUCUACAACAAAAGCAUUAAUAAGACCAUCUCCAACAAUGGGCUAAAUGCCAAAUUCCCCCCCCCCCAAACCCACUCCAACCCAAGACAAAUCUUUGGGCUAAAAGCCAAAUGCCAAAGCUGGGCCAAAUACCACCCUAAAUUCCUCCCCCCCCCCCCCAUGCGAGUGGACUCGCUGGAACUUGGGCCACUCUUGGCCCGCCCACACACGUACGCGCCCCACGCACUAGGCUUGCAAUGCUUUCUCGACAGGGGUGGGCCCUGCAGUCAGCUGGUUGUCGGCCAAAAUCAUCAUCCUAACGGCUAUAAUUGAGAUCCAAUGGCUGGGGUUUAAGGAUCGUUGGUUGAUCCAAUAGUCCAAAUUCAAAUUUAUUUUUUUUCGAAUAUGUUAUUUUAAAAUACAUUGAAUCUAACGGCUGAGAUCGAAUAUAAUCAAAUCUAACAGUAAAAAAAAAAGAUCUCACGGCCUAAAUUUAAAUCCAACGGCUAAAAAAAUUAAAAAAAAACUAUUUAACUCAAAAUUCACCUAAAAACUCCAUAAAUACCUAUGUAAUUGUUCAAACAUUCACACAAAUUUAUUUUUUUCAAUAUUUAUCAAAAUUUAAAUAUUUUUAGAUUAAAAUGUUCAUAAAAUUAAUUUACGAUAGUCUACAUAUAUAUAUAUAUAUAUUAAUUUAAUUUAAGAAAAAAAUAGCCUAAGUUCAUUAUUUAAUAAUUCCGGGCUAAAAUUUUAGCCUAGAACGGUUGGAGCAGAAAAACUGUUUCUGGGCUAAAAGCUAAAUUUUCCAGGCUAAAAAAUUUGGCUUUUAGCCCAACCAUUAGAGUUGGUCUAAACUGAAAUUCACAUUAAAAUGUAUAUCACACUUUGCCUUUAAUCGUUUUCCUUAUGAUCCUCGUCCUUACAUCAACUAAUUGACAAAAUAAUACCACAAUUAAUACAGUACACAAUCACAACAUCCAAAAUUACAAAAAAUAGCUCCAAUUACAAAAAAUCUCCAAAAAUAUUAGUAAGUAAUGACGAAGUAAAACCACAGGAAAAAAAAAGGGAAAAACCCUAAAUAACGAUAGAACUUAUGGAGAAUAGAUAGGAUAGGAAUUUGAAGAAAAAUGAUGAAACAACACCAACAAAAAACACAUUAUCUUACCCGAAUGAGAAGAGAUGACGUUGAAUUCGACUUUCUAGAAGCAAAAAGAAAGAACUGAGAUGACGAAAAAAUUAGGGAUAGGGAAAGGGGAGAUUUGUUUGAGAGAGGGAACAAGAACCAUAAACCCUUACCUGGUUCAAUUGUGGCUCAGCAUCAAUGGUUAUGGCGAGAGUGGCAGAGAAGGUUUUAAGCUUUUGAAGAGAGGGAGAGAGGCGGAGAGCUAGAGGCAGGCUCGAGCAUCUGAGUCUCAUUAUAAUUCUUUUUUAUUUUUCUCUUUUAGCGCAGAACAAAGCGCAAAAAUUUUUAGUGAAAUUUAAUAUUUUAUUGCGAGGGCCGCCUUACAGUUGCACAAACGGUGUCGCAAAUGCCAUGUUUUCUUGUAGUCCUAAGGUCCUGUACAGACUUGGUAAGGCUUACGGUCUCGAUUUGAGAAGCUCACUAAGUUGUGCAAUCUUGACAUGUAUAAUUGUUUCGUCAUCAAGGAGUUGCCCCAAGGCAUUGGUAAUAUGAACGGUUUAAGAAAAAUCAACAUGGGGACAAUGCUCAAGUUUGAAAAAGUUGGGUACUUAGACAAAAUUACUUUAAAAUAUUUCAAUAUCAUACAUUAUCUUCAAAUUUAUUGCAAUGCAUACAUUUUAAUAAUUUUUUUUAAAUAGGAGACCCAUCCCUACAAACCCAUCACCCAUUCUUUCCCAUCCACUGUGUCCCUGCCCCCCACCCCAACCUUCCUUCACCACCAAAACCAGAACCCCAUCGCCACCUUCUCUUCCGCCAUCUCCACAUCCCUCCUCCUCCUCCUCCUCCACCACCACCACUAAAUCCAACCAUUCAAAGCAACUCGUCAUUCAACCUUCCAGUUCAAAUAAAAACCAAGUACUCCACAACACUCCAAACCCAAAAACAUCAUCCUAUCCAAAAGGUUCCGAAUCCAACGAACUAAACCCGUCGUCGUUUUGGCCCACUGAAUUAUCGUUCUUUCUCAGCAGUCAGCACACCCUCCAUACACACGUGACUCUCCCUCGCCCUCAUCUUCCCCACUCGAUCGUCUUCUCCACCCAGCCACCUCUGCCAAAUUCCAAUCAAGUCUUCCCAUUUCUGCAACUCCCCAAAAACCCCUAAAUGCCCCUCAAAUCCUAGACUAAUUACUUCCUCCUCCAACUCUUUUCUUCUUCACCUAUCGGUUUUGUUCUGGUGAAGGAACGAGAUGAUGGGCUCUGAGAACCGGGCCUCCGACGAAGCCCACCUCCUCGCACCGAAAGAAGAAAUGGAGGAUCUCGUCCUUGACGCUCAAUUGAAUGGUAAUAAAUCGUACUCAAAUUAUUGCAGCGCCAUGUCGUCACUAUUCGAUACGACACAACCCCUUUCGUCGUCGCCGCCUUCGCUACCACCACCUCAACAACGCCAGCCGACAUCGAUCCCCUUUUGGCGCCCUCACCAUAUCGCGAUCUCCCCCGACAACUCCACGUACAUCGACCCGCCUUCUUACAUCAACGUGACCUUCAGCCCUUUCGAUGCCGAAAUCGCGGCCGAAGGCAACGGCAACGAGAUCCCCUGCAAGAGCUCUGACGACUCGAAUAUAAUAUAAGGUAUGAUAUUUAAAUAUUUUAAUGAUGAGGUAUAAGCUCUGAUAGACCUAAUACUUGAGAUAGUUUUAUGUAAUUCAUCCGAAAAGUUACCUUUAUGUGUGGAUCUUGAUGAGGAGUUGGAGCAAGUGAUUUGUGAUGAAGAGAAGAAACAUUUGUGGGAACCUUUCUUAAUUUAAACUAUAUUAUUAUUAGUCUAUUGUGAAGUUAUAUUUACUUUUAUCUUCUCAUAUUUUAAUGAUGAUAAUAUCAUUUGUUUAAAAAAAUAAAAAAAGACAAAAUAAGGUUUGUGUUACAUUGUUUCUUUAAUUUUCAUCUUCUUGUUGGGUUUUUCUUUUUUGAUUUUGUACAAUUUCUAAGUUUCAUCAAAUCCAUUUGUGGUACUGUUUAGAUCAAACUCUCUUGAGUCUUAAGAAAUUAUGCGUUUUUUUCCUGUGUAAUGUUUUACACAAAAUAAAUAAUGUGUAUUAUAUUUUCUUGUAUUGCAUUUUUAUGAAGUGCAAAAUGAUGCUUUUGGAGUAUCAACACCAAUUCUCUAUAAAUAAUGUGUAUUAUAUUUUCUUUGAAUAUACAAAACAUGUGUUUUUACUAAACCUAAUAUGUAAAUUAUGCAUUAAGUUUCUUUUGUUGCAGACUCCUGUAGGUGAUAGAUAUUGAGAUAUUCUAAGUUACGGUUGAAUGUGUUUUAAGUUAAUGCAAACACGCAAUCGAUAUGCCAUUGAUAUCGUCAAAAUGUAAUCCGUAGAGUGCAACAUAAAAGAAAUGGUUUAAGUAUCAAUCAUUUAGUGUUCAUCGGUCCAAACUUUCGUUUGACUGUCUUUAUGCUUUUGUCUCCUUUAGAAACUUGCCUUCACAACUCCUCCGUGAGAGAUCCUUUCUCCUUGGCGAGACUUCUUCUUUCCUUUGUGUGAGAGUUUCCCGGUUCCGUUCAUCUCCUUGAGCUUCUGGUUUCCCCCCGUUCGCCACUUUCCUCCAACCCCUGUGCCCCUGAUUUCUCUGUCUGUAGCCCCUUCCUCCCCUUUUCCGUUUCCCCAUCCUUCCACCCUCCUUCCGCUCUUCUCCCCUAUUUCUUCCUUGAGCUUCCUGGUACCUAUUUCCUUUCAACCUUUUCCCCCUUUUUCUCCUUCCGUCCACCUUCCUCCACCUUCCUCCCACCUUCCUUCCACCUCACCCCCUUUCUGUCCCUUUCCUUAAACCUUCUUUCCACCUUUUUCCCCCUUUUCCCCUUCUGUCCCUUUCCUUAAACCUUCUUUCCACCGUUUUCCCCCUUUUCCCCCUUUUCUUCCAAGUUAAUUUCCAAGUGCCCCACCACAGCAAUCAGCUACUGCUAAAAGUGACCGCGCUCCAACUCCGAAAUUUCUUUCGAGCUUCAAGAGUAAGGGUUUCUAUGUUAAAACCAACCCAAACUGUAUAUUUGUUUGUCCAACUUUGUAUUGCUUGAUCACCAACAACGUAAGAGAAAAUCCAACUUUGUAUUGCUUCUUUUCUGAAUCUCUUUAUUUUGGGUUCCAUAUUUAAGAGUGUCAAUUUCUAAUCUGAUAUUGUUUUGGGCAACUGCUUAAAAUGGUCCGAGAUCAAGGAGUGUAUUCAAUUGAGAUUUUUAGGGAUUUUAAUUCUUUUAAUGAAUCUAGGGUAUUCAAUUAGAAUUUUGAGUAAGUCUUUGAAAUUCUAGCAGUAUUCAAUUAGAAUUUUAAGAUAGUUUAUUAAAAUCCUUAGAAAUAUUCAAUUAAGAUUUUAAAUGUGUAUUCAAUCAGAAAUUGAUUUUAAAGAAUUUGAGAAAGUUGAGGAAUUACAAGGAAUUGAAGAGAUUUCGUAAUGUAUUUUAAGCAUCCACAAAUCUCACCUUUUUAUAUGAGAUUUCGAGGGAAUUGAAUCAAAAUUUUAUAUGAAAUCUCUACAAAUCAAUUAAACUUCAUUAAAAUCUCUCACAUUCUCAAUUGAAUACACCCCAAAUCUCAAUUUCUCAAUUCCUCAACUUAUCAAAAUCAAAUAUCGAUGACAUAAAAAACUGGUAAUUUAAGAAAUUCGGCCAAUUUCCCCUGUUAUUUUCAAUUGUCGUAAAUUUUACAUUGAAACUUUUGUAUGUUUUUCUGAUUUUCGGUGUUGGUUUUCGUCGUUAAGAAUCAAGGAAUGGAUGGAGCAGACGACCCUUCCGGAUCAGUAUUCAAUGCGCUGCAUGAGGUCCUCAUGGAGCUGAUCGCCAAGAAUGUAAGGAUUAAGCCCCUCCUCAAAGACAUCAAAUCCAGGUUAGACUCUUUGGAACCAUUGUUGAAAUAUAUAGAAAAAGAUAUAGAAAAAUCCAAGAAAUUGGAUCUUCCGGUUGUGGAACUGGAAAACUUAGAAGUGCAUUUGGAAGAGGGCAUAGAGCUCGUUCAAAAGUGCAUAAAGAUUCGACGGUGGACCACAUACAAACGGUACAAAUACUCCAACAAGCUGACUGGAUGGGAUAAAUCUCUUCAACGACUUUUGGAAAAGCUAGACGUUCAGGGAAUAAGGGAUAUGAAGGACAGCCCGGUUUUGGUGAAGAAUAUAGAGAAGGCGGUCAGCAAAAUUCAAUCGAAUCUGGGGAUACCAAAACAACCCGACAGUGAAACUUGGUGUGCAGCACCUGAACUUCCACCGCUUGUGGUUGGGUUGGAUUUUCCUCUAAAGGAAUUGAAGAGGAAGCUUCUAAAGGACGAAAAGGUAUCAAUGGUUGUGCUGACUGCUCCCGGAGGAUGUGGGAAAACCACUUUGGCUACAAAGUUUUGUCAAGACAAGGAUGUCAAAGGUAUCAUAUAUUUUAAGUUAGCACUCGGAGUUGUAUAUUUUUUUUUGUGAUGUAAAAGGUAUCAUAUAUUACAACUAUGUCAGAUUUAAAUGACGCCUCAAUGACAGAUUUAUUAUGUUUUCUUUGGAUAGAUACAUUCAAGGAUAAUAUCUUCUUUGUCACGGUUUCAAAAAAGCCUAAAUUGGAAAACAUUGUUCAAGAUCUAUAUCAACGAAAGGGUUUCCAGGUACCUACUUUCCAAAACGAAGUUAGUACAGUGACGUGGCUGCAACAUUUUCUUAAGAAAGAAGGGCAGAAUCCUAUACUGUUUGUCCUGGAUGAUGUUUGGUCUGGAUCAGAAUCCCUUGUGCAGAAGUUUGAUCAAUUCAAAAUGGAAAAUUACAAGUUUUUGGUGACAUCUAGGUCUGAAUUUCGGGGAUAUGGUUCCCCUUAUUAUUUGCGAUCAUUGGAUCGUGACAAUGCGAUGAAACUUUUUCAUCAUUCAGCAUCCCUUGGAGAUAAGAGCUCUCAUAUUCCAAAAGUUCUUGCAGAAAAGGUACUUUUUAGUUGCAAUGCAGAGCAUGUAUAGUAAAAAAUUAGUUGACUUGGUUUUGGAAAAUUGUCAAGAAAUCAUGUUCACUUUACGCAAAGCAUCCACAAUCAAGUGAAUGAACACGUCCAUUUACCGUAUAAAUUUGUGAGCAGUCAUGCAUCUAAGCAUACUUGUGGACUAAAACUAAAAUUAGAAUACAGUAUAUAGUUAUUUAGCCAUUUUCACAUCAUCGUAACUUGAAUUUUGGCUCUGCAACUUAAAAGGUAACUGACUUUGUUUUGGAAAAUUAUCCUGCAGAUAGUCGAACGUUGCAAGGGAUUUCCGCUUGCUAUUACAGUGGUGGGGAGAUCGCUUUGCGGGGAGCCUAUAGAGAUAUGGCAAAAAAGAGAACUUGAAUGGUCUAAAGGUUUUUCUAUUCUUGAUUCAGAGACUGAAUUGCUGCUCUGCCUUGAACGAAGCUUGGAUGCCAUAGAUAAAGAAAUCAUCAAGGAAUGUUUCUUAGACUUGGGUUCAUUUCCAGAAGACCAAAGAAUCCCUGUUGCUGCCCUCAUUGAUAUCUGGGCAGAGUUAUAUGAUGUAGAUACAGAUAUAGAGUGCAUUGCAAACCUCUAUGAGCUAACCAAACGUAGUCUAGCUAAUCUUGUUGUUACAAGGUGUGCAUGCUUUGUUUUUUCUUGUAUGAUAUUUUCGCUCUAUUUUCCCCUUUAUACUCACGACUGGUUGAUGCUAAUAACUUGUUAUUGCAUUAUGUUGGUUGAAGAAAUCUCUUCUAAGAAAAUUAGUUUUGAUCAUCACCAGGAAGGACAAUAUGGUGGGGGACGGGUACUACAGUGAGCACUUUGUUACCCAUCAUGAUGUUGUUAGGGAGCUGGCUAUCUACAACACAAAAAAAGGACCAGUAGAACAUAGAAAAAAACUGAUUAUUGACAUAUGUGGAGACAAUCUUCCAAAAUGGUGGAGAGAACAAAAGCAUCAGCCAAUGAAGGCCCGCUUAAUAUCCAUAACAACUGGUUGUUCCAUCGCUCCUUUUCUCUUUAGCAAUUAUGUAGACAUGCACAAAUAAAUAGUUAUUCUUGCUCACACGCACUCGCACGUGCACAUGAAGCCUUAAUAGUACUUUCAUUUAGUUUCUUCUCCAGACACUCACAGUUGUUGCUUUGCAGAUGAAGGGUUUUCAACAAAGUGGCACGACAUGCAAAUGCCAGAAGCUAAGGUUUUAGUAUUGAAUUUCCAGACAAAGAAUUAUGCCUUACCCGAAUCUUUGGUGAACAUGGAUGAAUUGAAGGCUGUGAUAGUCACAAAUUAUGGUUUCUUACCUGCUGAAUUGAGUAACUUUCAACUUUUGAGUUCGUUACCAAAUCUUAAGAGAAUCAGAUUAGAACGCAUCUCAAUUCCUUCUAUAACCAACAAUCCCAAACAAUUGGCGGGUCUGAAGAAGAUAUCCUUGUUCAUGUGUAACAUUGGUCAAGCUUUCAACAACGGUUCCAUCUCAAUCUCAUCAGCAUUCCCAAAUCUAGAGGAAAUGAACAUCGACUAUUGCAGUGAUUUAAUUGAAUUGCCCGUCGAGGUUUGUGAUCUUAAUAAACUAAAGAAGCUCGGUGUCACUAGCUGUCAUAAACUAUCUGCCUUGCCUGAAAGGAUUGGAAAGUUGGAAAAUUUAGAAAUGUUAAGGCUAAGAUCCUGCACAGAACUGUCAAAGCUUCCACCCUCAAUGAAGAACCUGGGAAAGGUAAACUUUCUUGACAUAUCUGAUUGCUUCAACAUCAAGGUGUUGCCCGAAGACAUUGGUGAAAUGAGUAGUUUAAGAAAGAUCAACAUGAGACAAUGUUCAAGGUUGCAAGAGCUGCCUCCAUCAGUCAUGGAUCUUGAGCAGUUAGAGGAAGUGGUCUGUGAUGAAGAGACAAAAUAUUUGUGGGAGUCUUUCUCGUCGUGUCUCAACAACCUGAAGAUUAUUGUGACCAAAGAGAAUAUCAACCUAAAUUGGCUCCACAAGACUCAGUUCUGAGGUAUUCUAAGUUGCAGUUUACUGUAUUCUAGCCGAUAUGCCAUUUAUAUGUUGUUGUUAUUGUUGUUAUCAUUGAUAUUGCAAAGUUAGAAUUGUCAAAAUAUAAUUUGUGAUGCCCAACUG
rnacentral:lncRNA from 1 species